GGAUAACUCGGUUCAAGCGGGUAAGCAGACCUGGUCUUCACUGGUUUGGUUCAGUCGGCUGCAGGUGGGUGAUCCGAACCUAGCAAAGCCCGUAUCCGACCGACCCAAUAUAUAUUUAUUAUAUAAUUAUUUUACUAUAUAUAAAAUUCUAAUAAUUAAAUCUGUAUCAAACGGUGUCGUACUGUGUUUAUGUAAAUAUUUCAGUUCUCACCACAAAUUCUCUGUAACCAUCAACAACCGUAGCAGCCGCCGCUCACAAACAUGUCAUCUCUUCCUAGUUUUCUCCGAUCUCCGGCGUUUAAAAACUCUUUUUGCUCCGGCGACCUCUCUAUUAAUUAAUUUUUCUCUUCAGGAACAACAAGAACAGCUCAAAAUUUUAUUGAUUUGGAAGAUUUCAUCGAAAACGAAAAUGGAAGGAAGACACUGAUUUGGAAUGAUUGAUGUUUCUCUCAUGCUCUUCAUUCCCAACCUGAUAUCAUUUCUUUCAUUCUUUCUUUGAUUUGUAUUGGGGUUCUAGAUCUGGAAGUUUCACAGGGUUGUAACUUUUGUGGGUUUAUGUUAGUAUGUAUGUAUUGUGAGCAUUUUGUAAUGAAUUUGUGGGUUUCUGUUUGUAUGUAUUAGUAUUUUUGUUCCAUCGAUUCUUCUUCCUUGCUAUUCUGUUUUUUUUUUUAACUGGAACAUGAACAACCGAAUGAACUCGUCCAAAAAUCCGACAAACCGAGUAAACCGAAACAGAUCUAACCGGGGAUAACAAAUGGACGGAAAUGGGUGGAAGUUUCUCACCCGUCGGAAGACUCGGUUUCCGAUUUCGAGCCCAAAUUCCGACCCUAACCGUCCGAUGUCCACCCCUACCAAGUAGCGUUUAAAGCUUGCAGCUUCUCACUUUUACUUCCAGUUUUACCCUUGUUAUUCUAACUAAAUUCUAUUUUUUAUCCUUAAUCAUUUAUUAUAUUAUAAAUUAAAAUACAUAUGUUUUAAAUAUGAAUGCUAUUUUUUUAUGAAUGAAAGAUCCUUUUUUUUUUUUUCUCAAUAGAAAAAGAUAUUUUUUUACCUUUCCGUUUAAGUUUUUUUUCGUUACAAUUGUUACGUUUUUUUUUUUUUUGGGACUAUUUCAAUAUUUAAUGUCACCUUUUUUUUUUUGCGAAAUGACACGUUAUUUUUGUGUGAUAUAUCAGAAUUGUAGAGAAUAAGAACAAGGAGAAUACUCCUUGAUGUGGAUUUAGGUGAGGCUUUAGGUUUAUUAUCAACCAUGUAUUAGGUUCGUGAUCUGUAGCUAGGUAUUGUGGACUUUGAGCUUGAUUCUAAAAGUGUGGUGGAUAGUCUUUAUGACAGGAAAAGUGGGGUCUCUAAUUUUUGCGCAGUAAUCAAUGACUGUAGACGCCUGUUAGCUUCUGAUUUAGUAACCUCUGAUGUUAGGUUUAUUCGAAGACAAGCCAAUGAAUUCGCUCAUAGUUUUGCUAGAGUGGCUUUACGUCAUGCUAGUUUUCAUAUUCAUAUUAGGAUUCCAUCUUGUAUCUCUACUAUUAUUAUGAAUGAAAUGCAAUAAGUUUCUUUUUGUCAGAAAAGAGAACAAGGACAAUAAUUUUCUCCAACAAAAAAAUGAGAACGUUAUGUUUACUUUCACUAUAUAUAUAUAUAUAUUGGGGUUUGCUAGAACACAUCCACUAGUUUUUAUGUGGGAGUGUUUUAGUAAAGCUACGGUAUUUAACCUAUUUUUAGUUAUUCACUUGCUAAAAUACUCCUUCUAAAAAAAUAAGUGGGUGUAUUCUAGCAAAUGCCUAUAGGAUUUGCUAGAACACACCCACUUAUUUUUUUUAGAAGGUGUGUUAUAGCAACAUACAUCUUAAGGUGUAUUUAUUAACUUUUUAGUUAUAACUUGUUAAAACACUUUCACAUAAAACUAGUAGGUGUGUUCUAGCAAAUCUCAUAUAUAUUUGUACAAACUAUAUUUCAUUUAUUGUUACAUUUAAAUUUUUUUACACUUUAUAUCUAAUUUUUUUAGGCAAAUGAAAAUAAAUAUAAAUUAACAUUUAGGAAUUAAAAAUUAAUUUAAUAAUAAUAAACUUUUCUCUCUCAUCUUUCUUUAUUUAUAAUAAUAAAUUUUUCUCUCUCUUCUUUAUUUAUUUAAUAAUAAACUUUUCUCUCUCAAUCUUACUCUCCUCUCUUAUCUUUUUCUUACCAACUUUCUUCAUUUUUCAUUUUCUCUACUAAUUUUCAAUUCAGUUUUACUAACAAGUUUUUUUUUUUUUUUUUUUUUAUAGAGGAAACUAACAAGUGUUGUUGUUAUAGCAUAAUAUGAUUUAGUAUUUUACGAUAACACUAUUAUAUAAUACUUUAAUUAUGUUUUUUCACGGGACACAUAUUAAAAUUUUUCACACUCAAACAUAUUAGUAAAUAAAAUUUAUGAUUAUUUUUAUUUAUUAGUUUUUUUCAUAUCGUCAAUACUAAAACAAGAACAAUAUUAUAAUAUACUUUGAUUAAUCAUACUUCAAUUUUUUAUGUUUUUUUUUUUAAAUGUAUCACUAAAAAACUUGUUGGAGUGUACAAUUGUAACACGAGACCCAUUUUAGUAACUAUAACGAAUGAUCAAUUUUAAAUAGUAUUUUUUUUUAAUAUCUCUAAUUAAACAUCGCUAUUGCCUAAGUUUUAUUAAUAUAUAUUAAUAAAAUAUAUGUGGGUGUAUGGACUAUAUAUUAAUAAAAAUAGUAUAUGUUUGUUUUAUGAGAAUAUAUUAAUAUAUUCUUAUUUCUGAAAUUUAAUGGGAACUAUAUAUUGAUAAAAUACAAAUGAGUAUAUGAACUAUAUAUUAACAAAAAUAUAUCUAACUAUAUGUUUUUAUACGGGAAUAUUAGUAUAUGUUUAUUUGUGAAAUGUAUUUUCAUUUUUUUUAAUAUCGUCAAUACUAAAACAAACAAAAAAAUUAUAAUAUACUAUGAUUAAUCAUACUUCAAUUUUUUCCGUUUUUUUAAAUGUAUUAAUAAAAAACCCAUUGGAGUGUACAAUUGUAACACGGGACUCAUUUUAGUAACUAUAACGAGUGAUCAGUUUUAAUUAAUAUUAUUUAAUCUUUCAAAAAAAUAUUAGUAUUUUUUUAAUAUCUCUAUUUAAACACGGUGACUGCCUAAGUUUUAUUAAUAAAAAUAUGUUUAUAUGAGUGUAUGUUUGUUUUACGGAAAUAUAUUAGUGUAUUCUUAUUUAUAUUGAUAGAAUUUAUAUGAGUGCAAUUUUUCAUUACUACCAAUCAAUAUAUACAUUAUUAUGCUUUAAAUACUUUACAUAUUUUCACUAUGGACAAAAAAAAAAAAAAAUCACUAUGGCAAACGCAGCCAAGACGCAACACGCGGCGAAGCCACGCUAUCCGUGCUGUAGCACGGGUAUCUCGACUAGUUAUCUUUAUACUAAAACUUGUUAAAAAAAAUCUUUAUACUAAAACCCUAUGAAAUAUAUAAUAAAUAGAAAGGAGAUUUAUUUCAACUUAAAGACUACUAAAAAAAAAAAAACCAUGAUCUCAAAUCAACUUGUUGAUUAUGAAAAUAAAAAUAAAAAUGGGAUGAAGCACAUAGCUUAAGUUAUAAGAUUGAAGAUUCAAAGUAAAUUGCAACUUGAAAAUACUGUGUUCAUCAAGGCAAGACUGUCUGACUAUAUGUACAGAUGUUAGGCAUGGAUAGAACUACUACAGUGCAUCAGUUUGGUAGUGAGACUCUUAUACUUCAGAUCUGCCUUUUCUUUUUUGUUAUUAAUUUAUCCCACGUUUUUUUUCCUAUAAAAGGAAACUGAUUCUUGAUUUUGAUCAGUAUAUGAUUAUCUCUCUAAGCAAUAUAUUGGCAAUUACCUCUUAUAUCUACAUUGCUUGAAUUUUGGUAAUGAAACUCUUAUACUCCAAAGUUGCUUUUUUUUUGUUAUUUUAUUUAUUUAAUCUAUGUGCUUUUUUUUUCUUUCCUAAAAUUGCAAAUUAAUUCUUGAUUUCCAUCAGUUUAUGAUAAUUAUUUGUUACCAAAUAUUUGUAGGUGGCUUCAAGUCAAAAUUAAAGGCUUUAUUCCAUUUUGAUUCACUUAUCCUAUGAACAACCCUUGUCAUAUAGAUUGUUUUGGGGUCCACAAACAAGGUAACAAUAUGAUCAGAAUCUUGAAGAAUUGUAAUUGUGGCUGCAAUUUAAACUUUCUAAGUGAAACUGUGGCAAAAAGAGACCUUGAAAUCUCAAAGAGCAAGUAGGAUCACACAUCCUCAUAGCCCACCCUUCAUUGCCUUAUCUUUUUUCUCUCAAUAGUAUAAAAAUAUCUUUUAAUUUUUGUUGAUUUUCAAUGUCAAGCAUAUGCCUUGGAGAUGCAAUGAAUUUGUGAGUGCCACGUUGGCAUUUACAACACCAUAAUAAAAGGAUUAGUUUUGUAAAUUUUCUCAUUUUAUGAAAAGAGCGUAUCAAAACAAAUGGAGGGUGCUCAAUAGAAAAUAGUGGUAAUAAAUUAUUUUUUUGAAAGAGAUAAUAUAAUUUUCUGAUUGAGCUAUAAUAAGGAAGUAAAAAUAAUUUUCUGACACACGCACAAGUUAUCGACUGUUUGAGAACGACCUAAUUAACAUUUGGUGUAUUUCCUCUAAAUUAACAUUUGGUGUAAUUACUAAGAAUUGUGUUUGGUAAAUAAAAGCAAAUAGACUGAUAAAUUAGUUUACAACGAAUGAAUUUAUAGUGAAUAGAGCUGUUUAGCUUAUAGUUCAUAAUAAAUAAGGUAAUCGAUUGAAUUUGUUUGAUAAAAAUUAACGAUUGAAUUAUUUUAUAAACAUGAAAUAACAUUAGCUUCAAAUAUGAAAUCUUGGUGGUUAUGGAGGCGGUGAUUCAAGUCAUUUAGGUGUAGAGAAUUUUGUCGAAAUAAAAUUGUUUUUUCAUGAAAAGAAUGAUAAAUAUUUAAAUAAAAAACAUAAAAAAAUCACAUUCGCGAAUUUACGGGAUAUCGCACCAUAUAUCAUCCCUCAAAUUUGAAUGAGUCAUACCAAAAUUUAUGCGAAGUCUAUUUUAAUUCCAACUAUUUAAAAAAUAUGUUGAAAAGACCCAAGAAUAUGCAUCGUAUGUCAAUAAUUCGUGUCAUCUCAAAUUUCAACCAUCAAUUUGAAAUUAACGGUUACAAUAAUUAAUGAGUAGAACUAUAUGAAUUUGGGAUUCGAAUCUCAUAUUCUUUAGGUCUUAAUUAAAAAUGAUGCAUGGAACUAAUUUAAAUCAUAUCAAACCUUAACUAUCUUUGAUCAUAAUUGAGAUCAUCUCAAAUCUUAACUAUCAAAUUUGGAGAGGGAGAACCCCCAAAGUUACUAGAAAAUUGAUGUUCUCAUGUCAAAAGUUGCUAUGGAAAACACCACAAAAUUACGAUUAUAACUCCAUCAACAAAUUUUAACCGACAAUAGUUAAUAGUCAAUGAAAAUUGAAAUUAAAUUUAUAGUGUGCAAAACAAUUUACAAGUUAUUAUACUGUUGAGUAGGGUCCACGAUAGAAGAGAGAGAGAUGGAAAGAGUGUGGAUAAAACGCGCGGAACACAGGCCAAUCAGAACCCAGAGAACAAAUCGCAAUAUUAAUUAUUACAAUCUCAAAAACCCAAGAGUGAGUGGAAGGGUCAAUUACACGAUUAUUCAUUUCUUUCCCCCUUCCUCUUCAUCUCUUUUCAAAUUCAAUUCUCCUCCUUCUCUUUCAAUCUAGGGUUAGGGUUCUCACUCAAUAAUGGCCGUUUCAACCACUUUCUCCGGUCCCAAAUUGGAGUCACUAUUCCUCAAAUCUUCUUCGAGGCUACCCACUCCCACCCAUUUAUCAGUUUUUGGGAAACCCAGAACUACUUUCAUUCAAAAAGGAAUUAUUCGAUGUGAUGCUCAAAAUUCUGAUCAAACUAUUGCUAGCACCACCACCCUUUCUGCUCUUGAGCUCCUCAAAACUUCUGCAGCUGAUAGUAAGUCAAUGCUUCAUUUCCCUGAAUUGAAUUCGUCUUUGAUAUUAUCUACUUUUCCUUUGUUUCAUUAAACAUUUUAUACCCUUUCUUUCUUAAUUUGUUGUAAUCCUCUAAACAUAUGGAUUAAGGUAAUAAUUAUUUGUUUACUGUUGAAAAUGCUGAUUAAUUUCUUACCUGUUACUGCACUUUAUCUCUGAAAGUUUAUGAUCUUUUGGAUGAUUCAACUGUUUCUCCAGAUGGUAUAUUGUAUCCAACCGUCGAAUUUUAAAUCAUUGCAGCACCCUAUUUACCAGGAAACAUGUUUUUUUUUCUUCAUAGUAUUCACAAAAUAAAGGAUGAAGUUUUUUUGCAUGUUAACAUUUUCUAUUUUUUUGCACUAGUCAUUCUGAGUCUGUUUAAUUCACUCUAGGAGAUCAAUUUCUGUUUGUUAUAUUUCUUAAGCGGUUGGGCUUUUAUGUUGCAUCACUUUUUACACAUCAAUGUUCCGAAGAUUUGAAGCUUUUAGGACUUGUGGUUGACGGUUGUGAUGACAUCUAGAGGGUUAUUUACCAAAAGAAAGUAAGACGGGAUAGCAUGUUGUUCAUUGGUUGAUUUGCAAUCUGAAACUUGCAAGUUGUGACUUUCAAAUAAUUUAUACAAUUAACUUUAACAGGGUACACAAAGGAAAGGAGCAGCAUUGUCGUCAUUGGGCUCAGUGUGCACACUGCUCCGGUAGAAAUGCGUGAAAAACUUGCCAUUCCGGAAGCAGAAUGGCCUAGAGCUAUUGCAGAGUUGUGCAGUCUCAAUCAUAUUGAAGAAGCAGCUGUUCUGAGCACCUGCAACCGAAUGGAGAUAUAUGUCGUCGCUCUGUCCCAACACCGUGGUGUCAAAGAGGUCAUGGAAUGGAUGUCAAAAGUAAGUGACGAGUUUAUCUCCUAAAUCAUAUUUGUAGUGCAUUAUAAAAUAUUUAAUGUUCCUGUUCUCUUUUGCAGACAAGUUCCGUUCCUGUUUCAGAGCUUUGCGAGCACCGAUUUUUACUUUACAACAAAGAUGCCACACAGCAUCUUUUUCAAGUAUCAGCUGGUCUUGAGUCUCUUGUAUUGGGAGAAGGUCAAAUUCUUGCUCAGGUUAAGCAAGUUGUCAAAGUUGGACAAGGAGUUAACGGCUUUGGAAGAAACAUUAGUGGUCUAUUCAAGCACGCAAUAACUGUCGGAAAAAGGGUUAGAGCAGAGACUAAUAUUGCUGCUGGGGCAGUUUCUGUGAGUUCAGCCGCUGUGGAGUUGGCCUAUAUGAAGCUACCUGAAGCCUCACAUGAUAAUGCCAGGAUGCUGAUUAUCGGUGCUGGGAAGAUGGGAAAGCUGGUGAUCAAACAUUUGGUUUCGAAAGGUUGCACAAGGAUGGUUGUUGUCAAUAGGACCGAGGAGAGAGUUGCUGCAAUACGCGAAGAACUGAAGGAUAUUGAAAUAAUUUACAAACCUCUUUCAGAAAUGCUCUCUUGUGUUUGUGAAGCAGAUGUAGUAUUCACCAGUACAGCAUCAGAAACCCCAUUAUUCAUGAAAGAUGAUGUCAAGGACCUUCCUCCAGCAAGUCAAGAUGUUGGAGGCCUUCGCCUUUUCAUUGACAUUUCUGUUCCUCGAAAUGUUGGUUCAUGUGUCUCAGAUAUUGAAUCUGUUCGAGUUUACAAUGUUGAUGACCUUAAAGAGGUUGUGGCUGCCAACAAAGAGGAUCGGCUUAGAAAAGCAAUGGAAGCGCAGGCGAUCAUUGGUGAAGAGUUGAAACAAUUUGAAGCUUGGAGAGACUCACUGGAAACUGUUCCUACCAUAAAAAAAUUGAGAGCCUAUGCUGAAAGGAUCAGGGUUGCUGAGCUUGAGAAAUGCUUGGGUAAGAUGGGUGAUGAUAUCUCAAAGAAGACGCGGAAAGCUGUGGAUGAUCUUAGUCGGGGUAUUGUGAAUAGGAUGCUUCAUGGUCCAAUGCAACAUUUAAGGUGUGAUGGGAGUGACGACCGAACUCUAACUGAGACCCUUGAGAACAUGCAUGCUUUGAAUAGAAUGUUCAGCCUAGAGACUGAAAUAUCUGUUUUGGAGCAGAAAGUUCGAGCUAAGGUGGAACAAAACCAGAAGUGAGAUGGAUUCAACACCAACUUCAUUGACGAUACACAUUUAUUUCCUUUCAUUAGAAUAAGAGGAAACACCCUCACCAUUUUUAGGAUAUGAAAUCGUGUAUAUUUAGUACAUAGUUGAAACAGCAGAAGUCUCCUUGGUGGAGCUUCCAUUGAUUGUUGUGUCUAUGCGUCUGCUUGUCCAAACUCAUUUGGGCUUUAUGGCUUAUGUGUCUACACAUCCAUCUGGUUUUGUAUUAUACAAAAAUGAAGAUGUUUUUAUGAGCAUUGUAUUUACUACAAAUUAUAUUGGCCUAAAAUUUGUCCGGGUAAUUGUAAUUAGUGCCAAGUUUAUAUAUUUUGGUAAGGAUGAGAUUAAUUUUCGAUGUCUUCUUUCAAGAUUCUGUUUUUAUUCAUGGCUGUGGUUGCUCUUGGAGAGUCUAUUAUUGUGUUUAAAGGUUUUGUUUGGAAGUUUAGAGGGAGAAUGGAAGAGAGUGCUUUUGAGGGAUGACAGUGGAAGGGAAAAUAGAAAAAUCUUUUAAAUUUUUUGGGUCUUUUUUAGCUAAUGAUAAAUGAUUACUUACUAUUAAAUAUUAAUAUAUUUUUAACCUUGAGUGUAUUAUUAUAACUUUGACUAGAUUGGAUUUGGAUAAUUUGUUCAAACCCCCAAAAUCUUUCCAUCUCAUACGUCAUUUUUCACAAAAUCCUUUUCCUCGACUCCCAUCCUAAACUCACACAGCCCAAGAGUUUAGAAUAGCAGAUAUAACCAUUACUCCUUUAGCAAGGAACCACAAAGAUACUAUAUAAUUUAUCAAGCCGUGGAACCAGGUGUCUUUAGACAUUAAAUUUAAACACUUCUAUUUGAACACAACUUUUGCCGACAUCGUAAGUAAAACUGAGGUAAUACAAGACAGUGUGCGUCUUGCAUGCAACCCGAGACGGGCUAAAUGAUUACUACAUUAGUUCCUUUUUAAGCAUUGUUUUCAGAAGAAAAAAAAGACGAUAUGUAAAAAAAAUACUCUUACGAUAGACGGAGUAUUAUAAAGCAAAUUGAACCACCAACCAUACAGAUAUACACCGCGGGUGUCACUUUUUGUAUUAAUUUAUCAUUUCUCAAAAUUAAACGUUCUGGACGAGUUAAAAUAGCUGAAAUAUGUGUUAAAUUUAUUUUUAAGUUGAAAAUAUUAUCUCAACCUCUUUCAUUCAUUAUAUGUAUGAAACAUUGUAGUUGUUCAGUAUAGUCUUGACUGACCCGUUCUAAGUCGGCCCACUCCGGAAAUGGACCUUCCAUUUAUGCAAGUCAGUUGGCCCAAUUUGAGAGCAAACCCCACAUGUAUUCCAUGUCUCAUCCACACUCUCCACCAGCAUGGGGCAUGGAGGUGAAUCGGGUGAUCAACAACACCAUAGCCAAAGGUGGCGGCACACUUCCCCCUAGAUUGUAAAAUGCGGUUGUGAUCAGCGCCAUAGCUAGAGAUGCCACACUUUCCUUACAACUAUGUAAUCGAGAGUGACUGACGCCAAAUGAUAAACUCACUAGAGAGAAGAAAGUAUAAGUAUUACUGUAUUUUUAAGUGUUUAUGUAAGAUUCCACUUUUUCGUGGUACAAAUAAGAAGGAAAUACAAUGAAGGAGACUAUGACUAGGACUACAUUAUCUUAAAACUAUUUUCGUUUUCAUAUUCAUUCUUGGUGACGGUUGCAUUCACUAAUACUUUACUUAUAACAUUGAUAUAUUCUAAGAAACUAAUCAAUGAUUUGUCAUACUGAAACUAUCUAGAUCCUUCUAGAAGGAGGUGAUGCAUGGUCUAAUAGGAUUCAUAGUCUCUAAGUCACUUGAGCCGAAAUAUAUUUUUCUUGGGCUCAUGGGUCUUGACGAUUUACUUACUACAUUAGACUCAAUUCUCUUUCCCUUUGAAACUCUACAUUAAUGUAUAUUUGCUUAAGUGUUGCUGUAACAGCCCGAUUUUUAGCUAGAUUUAUUUUAAUUACUUUUAUUAUGUGUUUGUGUGUGAUUAUUCAUCAUUGGGUGCAUUUUCAUGGGUUUCCGUGUUAGAAGGAUAUUUUAGUCAUUUUAGACUUAAGGGUAUUUUGGUCAUUUGGUGAGAACGGGUAGAAUUAUAAUUUUGGGUGAGAAUUACUUUUAGUGAUUAGUGAGAAUAGUUAUUUCAUUAAGUUACUAGAGUAAAGUUGAGAUUUUACCAUUUAGAGACCGUUAGUGACAUUUUACCGUUAUUAGUGAAUUACCAGUUAGAGUGUAGAAACAUUUGCGAGUUGAAUAGAAAUGGGUUAAGUUCACUAGAAACUAAGUUAAGCCCAUUAAGGGGAAUAUACCUUAUGAAGUUGUCUUAGAAAAUAUCAUUCAUUUCAUUUCAUAAGAUAUUUUCCUAGAGAGAGGUAGAGAGAGAAAGUGGAGAAGAGAGGAACAAGGGUUAGAGAAGGAGAAACUUGAAGAAUCAAGAAUUAGGGUGAAUCUAGGAGGUAAAGUGAAGUCUAAGUUUGGAUUAAUCAUUAUCUAAGGUAAGGGGGUUAGUCUUCAUCAUAAUCAUUUAGUGUAAUUUUUCAUUUGUUGUAUGAUUAAGUGCUUAAUUGAAAUAAGUGAUUAUUUCAAAUUUAAUUGAUGAAUUUCGUGCUCAUGCUUUGAUGUGAUGUUUGGGUAUAUGAAUUUUCGAUAAUCAAGUUGUUGAUGAUGAAAUUGCAUGCUCAAUACAUGUUUAUAUGUAUACUUUGUUGAUUUUGCUCAAAUUGGCAUAAAUUAGUGUUGUUGUUGUUGAUUGUGAUGAAUUCAUGCUUAAUUGAUGUUGUUGUUGAUAUGAGAUGUUGUUGUUGAUGAUUCAUGGUUUGGGUGUUCACAAAUCAUGAUUUGAUGAUGAGAUAUGAGUUGUUGUUUGUGUUGGUGAAGUUGUGUUAGAUGUUCAUGUGAAGGACCCAAAAAUGAAAUUUGAUAUACAAAGUUGUUGACUGAGUUGUCGAUGUUGUUGGAUGAGUUAACCUUGAUGGAAUUUCUGUUUUUAUGUUGAGGAUAUGAUAGUCGAGUCAUUUUGGGAGAAAACGAGAGUUUCGUUUGAAAAUUCAAUUGUUAACCGUUUUGGAAAAUGAGUGUUUGUGUGAGGUUUGUAAAAUGAAUUGGGGUUGUUGAAAUUGGGAUUUUUCUGUGCAUUAUGAUAGUGUUAAGAGUUAGGAGCAUGUGAGUGAAAACGGCGUCGAAAACGGAUUAACGGUUUGAUUUUUAUGCGCGAAAACGUAGAAGUUGAAAAUCUGAUGUUGUCUGUCAAACAACAAUCAUGCCACGAUUCGGGGCCAACGUGCCACGAUUUUGACCAGGUUUUCAGCCUGUCUGAUCCUGGAAAAAUCGUGCCACGAUGGGAAACCAACGUGCCACGAUGUUGUUUGACCAAAAACCUCAAAAAUGCAAUUUUCUUCGCUCCAAUUGCUUCCAAACUUCUUCCUAAGUGUAGGGACUUUAUCCUAAUCAUCUAGGGAUGUUUUUAUGGAAGAGAUAGCUUUGUAAUAAGGGCUUAGUGAGUCCUUGUGUUUUCUUGACUUUAAUGAAACAAUUAGGAUACGAAUCUUUGCAAAACUUGAAUUUAAGCAAGUUGGCCUAUGAGACGUUGAUGUAUACACUACUGCACUCAUAUGUGACUUGUGUAUAUACAUGGUUGAGGUCCUAGAGUUUAUAUACUCAGUUUUAGUUCAAUUGUCUCAUUGUUUUAAAGUUGUAAAAGGAAAGAUGGACUUUAUCGGAAAAUGUUAUUUUGAGUCAAUUAUCUUAUAAAUCUUUCGUAAUUAGUUUUGUAUGACUAUAUGGAAGUAUUGGAUUGAUAGUUGAAUAUGGAUUGUGACGUUUAUCUUAAGGUGACGUAUUUUCCUCUUUACUUGGAAUGUGAGCAAAUCAUGUAAUUGAUGUGAAAUUAUGUGAAGGUGAUGAUAUUGGUGAAUCCAUAUACAUUGUUUAUUAUGAUAAGGCGGGUAAAUAUACAUAUAUAUAUAUAUAUAUAUAUAUAUAUGUUAUGAAUUGUUGGGAGUUCAUAUAUGUCGAGAAAUGAUGAAUUGGUGUGAAUGCAUUUAUGCAAGUAAUAUUGGUGAGAAUAUGGCGAGUUGUUGUGUGAACAUAUGCAUUGUUGUUGAGUCAUAUGUUCAUGCAUACAUGACUGAUGGAGAUGGAUAUUUUUAUAUAUCUAAAUGGUGAGAUUAUGAUGUUCUGUCGGCAUCAAGGGCGACGGGCUAAAUAUUGGUGAGACCGGUACCGCAUGCAUAUAGGGUGUGUCUAGGAUCAUAUCAUGUUGUGGCAUGAGUCCUAGUUGUGAAUGUAGUUGAUGUACAUUGUGGUUGUGAAUGAGUAAUUGUGAUGAUUACAUUUGAUUGAUUGAUGAAUUGUGUCAUUAUUGACUAUAUGAAUUGAGGAACUUGUGAAUUGGUAAGAUUGUUGAAUGAAUGGCUGUUGAUGAUAUUAUGUUUGUUAAACACAUAUCUAAGAUAUUUGAAUUUUGGUAAGAAUGCAUCUUUGGAAACUAUCUACUCUUGAUCCAUUACAUGUUACCUGAAUUUAAUUAUUCAUGCUUAAUUGAUUAAUUGGAUUAUGUUGAUGUAAUACUCACCCCCAGUGGUUUGUCCGUCUGCUUGCCUGUAUGGGUAAGUAGACGUUGUGCAGGAGUAGUAGCUUGGUGAGUACUUGGUGUUGCUGGAUAGUGGGAGCUCUCUCCACUAUCGGGUCUUAGAGUAGAGUCGGCUCGGAUCUAGGGAUUUUGUAUUUUGUAUGAUAGCUCUAGAUCUUUUGUUGGAUUUAUUCAUGUUUUGAGAUUUGUCCACUUGUCGGACUUGGAGAUUUUUAUGCUUAUGCAUUUUUGAGAUCGUUUGACAUGUAUGCUUGAUGUAUAAGAAUUUUGUAUCCGCUGCGACUACUGAGGUUUUAUAUACAUGCAUGUUGACCGUUGAUUCGAUUUUGAUUUCCUUUGCUUUGGUGAAAGUAACGACUAUUUCUUGAAUAUUAUUAUUAUUCGCAUGUUUUAUUGCUUUAAUAGAAAUAGGUGUUACAGUUGCCAACCAAUUAAAAGUGCACUUAGCUCGAGUUCAUAGCUUCAUUCAAUCAUGCGAUUUGAGCAUCUUAUAUGUGGUUCACAAUAGACACUAUUAAUGAAGUGAGUGAAAUACAGUGUGUUAGUAAGUUGGAUCAAUAUAUAAUUAUAAAGAUAAAAGAAAACUAUUAAUGUUUAAUUCAUAUUUUAAAAUAUCAAAUAAAAAUACAAUAUUAUUUUAAACCUUUCUUUGAAACGAAUAAAGCAAUGAGAAUAAUUAUAGCAGCAAAAAAGUUAUGCUGAAUUUUGGUUUAAUAGUAAAUGUUCAUGUGACUUGAUGGUAAGAAAUUGUUAAAGCUUAAUCUAUUUUUCAUUUUUAGAUUAUUCCCCUAAUAAAAAAUGUGACAUUAUUCUUCUUCAUAAAAAACAUAUGUGACAUUAGCAUUAAAUAUAUUUUGUAGACAGGCCAACUGAUAUCUAUUCUAGCCGGGUUGUAAAUGCAUAAAUAUUGAUCAAUUAUUUAGUUUAAUUGAAAGGUGAAACGUGGGCACAAAUUCCCCAUAGGAAAAAGGAAGAAUUGAGAAGGCAAUGAUAAGCAAUCUCUAUCGGGUGUUGUACAGACAGAGUUAACAACGGUCCCCCCCUACAGUAUCACGUGAAAUCCUCCACAACCCCAAGUCUUUUAUGAAGAAGAAUAUUAUCAGUUUAUCAUAAGCACAGAUUCACAUAUCAAUGUAUCAGAUAAUGAUUAUGCAUAAUUCAUGUAAUGCCCGUUUACUUGGAUGAAAUGAGAAGAAUCAACAUAGUUUUUAUAAUCUUUCUGAUUUCAUUUCAAAAUAAAAAGUGAAAAACUAAUCUCAGAUUUCCUCUUCAAAUAAUAGACUAAGGCUAAGUGACAUAAUAAUAAGCAUGCCCCCACUCAAUCGUGUCUUGACCGGUGUUGUUGUUGUUGUUGUUUAUGUGGUAGCUAGCUAAGUAAAACCAAAAGAACACAAGGUCUGCCAAGAAUCACAAAGGCCUAGAUAGUGAUGGAUUAGACAACUGGGACACUUAUUGGGCUCCACAACUGUGCUCUCUACUUAAGAUCCUGUUUUGAUGCAAACUACCUUAAUUAAAUUUCCCCUCUCUCUUAUUUAUUUUGCACAAAGUAGCUGAAAAUUUGUUGUCAAACAGAGGAAGCUAAGCUUGCUGAUUGAGACGGACCAUGAAACGCUUUCAAUCUUACAAUCAGUUGGCCUUUGUAUUUAUCAACAGCCUACAACCUCGACUUUAAACCCCAUUCAUAUCUAUCUAAAGAUGCUUGUAAAUAGAGACUUUGAGGUAGACAACAAAAAUAUCUACUAAACAAACCGAGAUAGGUCACUCCAUGAAAAAUAAAUGUGGAAUGACUUUAUCAUCUAUAGUACUAGAAUUUAACUAUUUUAUAAUCUAGAAUUCAUCACAAAUUUGAAUCAGCACAACGAAACAGAAGUAAAAUACGAUGUUAUAACCAUUUGGAUUAGGUUUACCUCUUAAGUUGGAAAGUCGUACAACUCAAUUUCAUGCAAUACAUUCACUUACUAUAACAUACUUUUAGAAAUCUUAUUUCUCACAAAAAAAGUACCCGAAUUUCCCCGCUCCUUCAACCAUAGAUAUUGCAAAGCACGAUCUAAGGUAUUUUCAUUUUGAUUCUAAGUUUUUAAGGUAAGGUAUUUUCAAAUCAGAGAUGGGGAAAAAAGCAUCAAGUUGCCACGUAGAAUGUAAUCAUUCAUUCAUCAUUGUACUCUCUCAUGUUAGCCCCAUCCCUAACGAUCCGCUCCUUAAUAUUUAGCCCCACACACAUCCACUACAUUAAAAACCACAACCAAAAUCCUCAAUAUAACUAAAAUUGCAAAUCAUUAAAUGAGGCAAAAAAAACAUAAAAUCUCCCAUGUCAAGAAGUCUAGGAUAUAUGUGUAUGAAAUGAUUCUAUAAAAUGAUUUUGCCAAUAAAAGAUGUAUACAUUUAAUUUAAAAGUAAGUUGGACAAUGAGCUUGAGUUAAAAUCAACUAUAACAUCAAAAGCUUUAAUUUGUAAUUUUAAAACAAAACAACCAAACAUGACAUAAUUAAUUAUACACUUUUAGAAUCAAUUUUAACUCCUCUAAAAAUGAAACCAAACAUACACUAGUUCUGAGUUGGAAUGGAUUUUGUGUAUAUCAGUAUCUCAUGGAUUAUGAUCUUGAAAAGGGAUGAUGAUUAAAAAUUAAUCACAUCAUAUGAAAAAGAGAAGACAAAAAGAUAUGACGGUUACGCCAACCAAUCAAAUUCCCCCAUUUAAAGGUGGGCCAUACACUCCAUCACAAAAUCAUCUUCUAAUGCACAAAGGGCCGCGCCGUCUGCUACCACCUUGUCUCCAUCCCCAUCCCCAAUUGUUUUCUUCCUCUAAUUAUAAGUUUUUACAUAUUUUUCAAAAACAAAAAAUUAACAAAAGAAAACAAAUUUAUUAAACCAAAAAAAAAAAAAAAAACAUGUAAUUAAAACCUAGCAUUUUCGAAACCAUGUAAGUCACUGACUUUAUUCAAAGACUUCUUGACCAUAGCCAUCUUAGCCAGCUUCUCAGCCGCUCUCCAAGCUGAUGUAGGGGUAAGUGGCUCACCGUUUUCAUCCACCAUAUUUUCGCACCCUCUUCUUCUUUGAAUCAUCAUUUGUUGCUGCUGAACCUCAACUUGAACCUGUUCUUGUUGUCUCCUCCAAUGAAGCUCCGCUAGCUCAGCUUCCAAGCCACGAACAUAUUGCUCCGCUGAAGCCGAGCCAGAUUGUAUCAAAAGAGAACGAGCUGAAGCAAGUAAAUGAUGAGCACUUGUGAAGUCACUGUUAUGAUCUAAAAGCCUCCUCGACUCAGCUAUGGCUCGUGUUGUUAUGAAAAGAUUCCUCAACCGUUCGAUUCUUGUUCCUGAUGAUCGUAUAUUCUGAGAUUGAUUCUGAGGUAGUUGCACUGUAAGUCCCUGUUCUCUGCCGUAUACUAUCUCUUGACUUGCGGGGUCUUUAUAAAGACACCUUACCGUCAUCACAUGGUGGGUCCCAUACCCCAAAGCUGACGCUGGAACUCUCAUCUCCACCAAAAGCUCUCUUUCUUCUUCAGCGUAUAAAUCGCCGAGCCGUACGGCUCCUAAGCUCAACAGCGUGGGCCUUCCACUGCAAGAGUAUAUAGCAUUAAUCUCGGCCCGGGCCGAAUCAGAUUGAAAGCCAAGUUGAACUCUUAAAUCCUGAACCACAACACUCAAAAGACCGCCAACACAUUUUGCAAAUGCAUCCUCACCCGGUUCAUGACUAUAACCGCUUUUGCUACCAAACCCAAACGCGUGAACCGGAAUUUCAAUAUGAGCGAACCGGGUUGAAGAAGCGUGGUUAUACAUCUUCCGUUGAUUUUGAUUCUUACUAUUGUUAACCUUUUCAUCUUGACCGUCGGAUAAUAGCAUGACGCUAGCAACCGGGUUUCUUUCUCUACGAUCCUCCAAAACUGUAGUUGCUUUUCUCAAAGCUUCACUAACGCUGUUACCUUCACCGGUAACAAGCCGGUCAACGAUGCGCCGAGCCAAACGUUGACCUUGAGCCGUCAUUCUUCUCAACGGUAAGAGUCGUUUGGAAAUAGACGAAAAAGCAACAAUAGAAAGCCUAUCAGAAGGACCAAGAGAUGAAAUAACCAAACGCAUCGCGCGUUUUAGCAUGUGAAGCUUUGCGCUGGACAUGCUUCCACCAACAUCGAGAACUGUAACAAGAUCUAUCGGAGCUCGCCGUGAAGGAUCAAGUGUGUUGGUUCCGCCGCGGAGUGGUGGUGGUGCUUUUACUUUCAAAACCAAAGCGUAUGUUUCGUGUGUUCUGGAAACUGAUACAAUUGCACAUUCUGGCAUUAACUUCACCUGAACAGUUCUUGAAUCACCGACUCCGUCGUUGGUUUGAAUGUAAUCGGAGUAGGUUUUGUUAGCGGUGGAUGUAGGUUUAGUGUUUACGAAAAAUCCUUGAAACUCGCAGUUGUCAUCAUCUUCUUCCUCUGCAUUUUCAUCUGCUUCGGGAAUAGUGUUAAUCCUUCCACCACCAGAAGUUGGAGAAAGGAGGAGAGGCUCAUCAUCGUCGUAGGAUCUUGUUGAUUCAGAAGGCUUUGUUUGUUGCUGUUGUUGAGAGUGAUCCACGUUCUUGGUUCUGAUAACAGGAGAGGGAUUUACUGUAGGUAUUUUGUGGUUUGGAAUUGCAUUGGGAAUUUGUUGUGAAGAAGCAAGAUUCUUGUGCGCCGCUAGAAGAGGAACGUCUUUCCAUGUGGCGUUGCAGACAGGGCAAACAAGGGUAGCAUGGUUGCGUACAUGUGCUGCUAUGCAAGGGAAAUGAAAAGCAUGUGCACAUUCUGCUGUGUAUAUUGCCUUCCCCUGCCCCGUUUUCACGCUAUUCAAACAGAUUCCACAGCUACUCUGAAUCAAACAAUAAUAUCAAAAUAAAUAAGGCAGAUCAGUAUCAUUAUUUGGAUCUCAAUAAAAUAGGAAAAAAGGAAUUCAUACCCUGAAUUUGAAGCUGUUUUUGAAGAGGGACAACUUCAAAGGAGAGCGAGGAGAAGUAGGAUUUGAUAUUGAGUUAACUCUAGGGGAUUUUGUUGAUCUUGGGGUGCUACUUUGAAAUCUGGGGCUAUCAUUUGUUAUUUGAGAAGCUGCUUCAGUUAUUGUUCGACAACGAAGACUUGGACUAGAAACUGGUUGAGAUUUAGAUUGGUGCAAACGUGGAGUUGAAGGAUUACUACUACCACCAGAAAGAAAACUCAAUCUAGCACAGCUUCUUGGACUAGGAUUUGGACUUCCGUUGUUGUUGUUCUUAUUAUCUGAUAUGGUAGAUUCAGGGUCUCGUGUACAAAAGGCUCUUCUCCAACCAGUACCCAUUUUCAUUCACUAAAAGGUAUUGCACUUUUCUAUCGCUUAAGAAGAAGAUAAGAGAGAUAAAGAAGUUUUGUUUGUUUUGAAGAAUGGAUCUAAAGGUGACAAAGGAAUUUAGUUUAGAGAGCAUGGGAUCAAAUGAAAUUAAAGCAACGAGACAAUCUUAGAGCCAUAUCAAGAUAAUAAAUAAAAAAAUAGAAUGGCUUCAAAGUUCAACGAACUAGACUUUGGUUUUUGCAUAUAUUGAUAAAAGCAAAAAGAUCCCUGCAGUUAAACGCCUCGAGAGAGAGAUCUAUUCUCCUUCUCUCUACUACCUGGCUGUUUGUAUUUUGUGUACAAAAAGGGAAGGCUUUCGUAGUCUGCAUAUUUAUAUACUCAUAUUUUAGUAGUCACACCAUUUACCUACUUUAAUUAAAGAUUAUUUAUUCUACUAAAUUAAUCAGGUUUACUAAUUACCAUGUUAACGGCCACGUGUUUCUUGGGUUUUCUAAUCUAAUUUGGUCAACGCUCCUACUCUAAUUAUUGAUCAUCAAUUAAUCAUCUCAAUUUUUCAAUGUGACAAUAAUUAUGUGAUCAAUUAAACAUGGAUCACCGACCCGUGAUGCCUCAAGUUGAUCUUGAUCAUAACCAAAUAGUAAUGUAUGACCUGCUUUGUGCAGCAUCCAUGCAUAUCAUAUCAGUAUCACUACCUUGUGAGCCAAGUCGUGACACCUCUGUAAGAACACGUGCCUUACCAUUUUCAAGUUUUGAUUUGAUCUAACUUUAUCCAUCCAUAUUAAUCUAACACAAAUAUACUGUAUAAAAUAAAUGUGUUACUACACAAAUGUUAUUUAAGUUUGAGACACAAUUUUUUUAAGUCCUUGUUGUUAAAAUUUCAAGAGAUUUUUAAGUCCUUGUUUUAGGGUAUCGGUCAUGUGAUAAACUUUACUACCUAAAGAGUAGAUUAAUGCGUGUUUGAAUGAAAUUACGUUGACAUCUUGAUUUUAUAAAGUGUAGAUUUUCUCAAAUCUACGAUGUUUCACCGUGGUUUUGACAAGCUCCAUCAUUGAUUUAAAUAUGUACUUAAAUUAACUCAUAGGGGAUGUCAAUUCCACCAUAAACGAAACAAGGAUUUGAAUCCUCUUAUGUUUAAAUCUCAGAACUAAAACUCAAUGAAAUCAAUUAUGUGCUUCUUAAAGAAAUUCCGAGAUUAUUAACAUAAACUUUUUGAAUUUUUUUUUCUGCCUACUUCUUGCCAAAAAACACAAAACUGCCCUACUUUUUCGAAAAAUCACAUAAAUACCCUACUUUUUCUGGUACCCCUGUCACCACACAAGUAAAUCGUCGAAGACGAGGGUGUGGGACAGGAGGACAUUUGUAAUAAUUGUAUAUUUGUUAUUAGUUUAUUAAAAUUAAGUUUUUUUUUUUCUAUUUUUUUUGUUAUUGGCGCGGAAAACAUGAUAAAUACCUUGCAACUCCAAGUUGUGGGGUAUUUAAAUUUAAAAAAUAAAAACUACAUCGCAAGUCCAUCUUGCUUGGUAGUUAAAAAUUAAAAAAAAUAAAAUAAAGAAAGUACCCCGCAACUUGGAGUUGUGGGGUAUAAUAAGGACAAAAAAUUCGUCAACUUUGAGGGUACCCCGCAAUUUGGGGUUGUGUGGUGACAGGGGUACCAGAAAAAGUAGGGUAUUUAUGCAAUUUUUCGAAAAAGUAUGGCAGCUUUGUGUUUUUUGGCAAGAAAUAGGGCAGAAAAAAAAAAUUCCUAAACUAUUUUUGUUUAACAGGUUUUGUUAAUUAGUACCUUGGAACACUAGUUAAAGAAAUAAAAAAAUAAAAUAUUUGCAUUAAAAAUAUUAUUCUUUACACUUUUACUAUACUAUUUGGUUUUCUUAACUAGUGCUCCGAACACUUGUUAACAUACUCCUAGUUUAAUUCGUCACAUUGCACUUGAAGUUCCUAGAAUGAUGCAUUAUUGGGCAUUGGCUGUUUGAUUCGUCACAUCCUGGUCGCGAUUAAUGUAAUUAUUAUUCACAAAACAUACCUUGCUUAUAACAUAGUGGGACCAUUUAGAGGGCCAAGUGACAAUUUCAACUUUUUACAACCGAUUGUGACCAUGCAGGCCUAAUGGUAUACAGUAAACUCGUGGACUUUGCUAUAACUGCAUGUGUGUACUAACCCAAAAUUUACCCUGACAUUAACCUCGGAUUACAGUAAUGUAAAUUUCACACAGUAAAAAAACCUAUAGCUAGAUGUCAGUUACACAGCUAAACUUUGAAACUAGACUAGUACUACUACUUCAUGCAUGUUGCACUGUCUCAGCCGGAUUAUUAUUUAAAUAAACAUAAAUAGGAGUACAAAAAGGUGAAAACAUUGAUGGCAAGGAAAAUAGUCAGAAUUACUGCUACUAUAUAAAUGACUCACUGAUCAAACAUCCACAUGACCCGUCCUUUCUUGCUGUGUCAGUGGUUUGGAGACCUAUGAACCAACUACCAAGGACCCCCCCUUCCCAAACAAACCCUACAAACUACAAAGUACAAACUCACUCUUUGGCACAACCAUUAUCCACCUGCUUGCUAGUUUCUCAUCGAUAUAUUUUUUUUUUUACGAAUAAAUGGCUAUUUUAGACUUCUUUUUGUGACUACUUUAUCAUGUAACUCUUUUUCAAUUUUAAAUUUAAAUUUACAUCUAGUUGUAAGAAAUUUGAAAACCAAAUAUCAAUUAUAUACUAUUAAUAAAGUUGUUUAUUUAUAACAUAAUUCAAAUAUCCCGUAAACUUGUGCAUGUUUAAUAAUCGGUUUGAGAUCUUAAAAUGUAUUUCUAUCAAGAUUUUAAGUUCAAUUCUGUUUAAUGUCAAUUUUAAUAAGUUAAUUUGGUUUCUUAAAAAACAAAAAUUAGGUAACAAAUUUAAUUAAAAAGUAAAGGUCGCGUGACAAUUUAAUAAAACUCUCUUACUUUUUUUUGGGUUUGAUAAAAAAAAAUUACAACUAAGUCAUGAUUUUUGAAAACGUUUUCCAUUGUGUCAAUACUCAAUAUGAUAUGUCCUUUUUUGCAUUUGAUAAAAAUAAAAAUUAUACAAUUUAUUUUUUGAAAGACGAAUUUACUUACUUAUCUACCUAGGGUAUAUAUUUUUUUUUAUUUGAAGGAUACCUAGGGUAUACAUGAGUAUUAGAUAAUGGGUACAUGUACUUUUGUACCUAGGGAUUCUAGACAUGUAUCCGAAUGUUGCUAGUUACGCAGAUAUAGGUCCGAGUAUUGUACUGGUAUUGUAGUAUUCUCCCCAUGCUCUAAGUUCUAACCAUUGACAUCCCCUCUCGUAAACCAACUUUUAUUAAAAAGAAGGUAAAACAUUUUUAUAAAAUUGGGAAAAAUAAUAUUUUUAUUAAUUAAAUUGGUAUACUGGCCAUUUUACAGCUAUGACGAAGGGGAUUUGAUUUUUAAACCUGAAGUUUAAGACAUUCAACUCUUAACAUUGAAUUAGCACCUAAAGCUAAUAUUAAUAUUUCAUCCGUUCAUAUAUCUAAGAUCAUUUUAUUAGAGGAAAAUGAUGCUUACACAUAGGGACGGGGAUAGUUUUUAUAUUGUGGAGGUAUACGAGGGUUAGUUGUAAUAAUUUUGAAAAAAAAUACUACAUUCGUCCUUAAUUAUAAGGUCCUUUUGAGAAAAACAAGGAAAUUAAGAAAGUUGAUUGUUGAAUUAAUUUUGUUGAAAAUUGUUAUUGUUUACUUUUAUGAUAAAAAUUAGUUGAUGUUUUCCUAGAGUAUUUAUUAUAUAUUGCAUAAAUAAAAUACAACAUAAAUAGGGAUAUAGUGGUACAGAAAUAAUCAAUGUACAUUAAAAUUUGAAAAAUGUCUUAUAAAAAGAGAUAAAGAAAAAACACAAAAGAAACUUAUAAUUAAGGACGGAGAUAAUAAAAUACAAUAACAAUAAAUAAUAUUUCAAUUGAUUUACAAUAAACCUCUUAAUUUGAGGUUUUUGAAUUAGCACCUAAAGUUAAUAUUAACAUUUUUUUUAUCAAAAACUAAGAGGGUUUGCAUAAACUGAUUUACAAAUAUGAAAAAUUAAUUUAAUCAAUUAUCUUAAAAAUAUUUAUUUUUCUCCUUCACAAGAAUUUGAAUCCAACAUAUUCAAAUAUAUCUUCUUCUUUUUUUAAAUUUAGUUCAAAUCAGUUUAGUUAUUCAUCUUUAAAUAUAUUUGUUUUUUUAAAACUAUGUUUUUAUAUAUAGAAGACUAAUAUACAUAUUUCAAUUGUUGUUAAUAAUUUCAUAGACGAAAAUGCAUAUUUAGUCCUGUUUUCCUUGACCUAUAUAAUAAACUGGUUUGCCAAUCCCAAAGAUAAGCAAGGGUUGAGGAGGGUCCAUUUUCAAUAAAAAAAAAUAUCUUUAUGUAGUACUGGUGGAGAAUAUUUAGAAUUUAAGUUUAAAAUGAAUAAAAGAAUGGGGGUGAGAGUGUUCUUGACAAAUGCAAUGCCAACAAGUUCAACCACUGGGAGUAGAUAUCUUGUAACUGGAAAAUCGAGGUGGGAGAGGUAACAGGGUUGGUACCUCCCCAAAAGGACAGAGUCGCAAAGAGAGACAUUUGACUGGUAGUGUGGUGUGAGUGUGUCAUCUAUAAGUCAAUAUUUCCCACCCGCACGAUUAAUUUGGUUGCAAUUAUCUCAUUGCCGUUCGUUCGGCUUCAAUUCAACAUGAUGACGUUUUUAGUUAUGUUAGACCAUUUACAAUGUGUCGCCCUCAGUUUACCACAGUUGGGAGGGCGGAUUCAAACCUCAUACACACCACUUCUUUAUAUUUAAUUGUGUGAGCUCUAACCACUAUAUUAUUAGACAAAAAAAUACCAUUUAUAAUAGUUUAAAAACUCAACACCACUUUUUCAAUGAGGAGUGUUAUUUGAACAACUAAUUUGGUGACAAUUUAUUUGACAACCAUAAUUUACAAAGAAAAAAAUAGUAUUGACAUAAAAACCAUAACAAUAGAGAGAUAAAGUUAAAAAUAAUGUAAGUAUGGGAGAGAAAGUUGUCACAAAAGUUGUACCAAAUGGAUGUUCAAAUAUCAUUUCUCUUUUUUAAUUCCCACACUCUACAUCAUUUUCUCUCUCUUGCAUCUAAUAAUUUAACACUCAUUCAAUUUUUACACUUUCCAAUGGUUUUUCAUUCCCCUUAAAAAAAAUGAUUUUUUAUUCAACACUCUACUCCACCACUUUUUAUUUCAUAUUCUUAUUUAAUUUCAUAUUUUUGUAUUUAUGAUUACAUAAAAUUACAAUUAUCGAUUAUAAUUAAAUUAAAAUAAUAAACACUUGACAACUUAUCUUUUAGAUUUUUGUAAAAACAAAAUUUAUUUAAAUAAUUUAUUUUUAUUUUCUUAACUUAAAAUACAAUACAAUAAAUUAAGCACGCGACACAUAAAUAACUUAAAAUGAAAGACAACAAACUAAGCAUGUGACAUACAAAUAACUUAAAAUGCAAGACAACAAACUAAGAACACAACACACAAGUAACUUAAUUAGUACAAUACAAAUCAUCUUCAAUCACGAAACAUUUCAAACAUUGUCCAUAUAUGUGCUUCACUAGAUCUGCUUGCAAUUCGUGAUGAACAUUUAGAUCACGCAACUCGGAUCUAGCACGCACAUGAUUUGCAAAAGCGGGUAACUCCUUGGUCGAGUAUGGUUGCGGUGUUUUAGAUCCACUUUCCUCGAUCGAGUAUAUAUGUUGGUGCUCUCAGGUACACUUGCUCAUACAAUCGUAUGAUUCCUUUACAUAAUUUACGUAAGCACUCCAAAGUUGUAGUACAUCCUAUUUUGAUGUACUCAUCGACCGCAUAUGCUGCCACACCAUAUGCUAACACCAAGAGUUAUUUGUGUUGAAAAUUCGGGAAAUUCAGGUGCAACUACAUUCGGAAAAUUUUCAUUCUCCAUUGGCAUAUAACCAUUAAACGGUGGGUGUUAGAGAUGGAUAUCUCAUCAUAGAUCCAUAAUAUGAAUUAAAGUUUGGAACAAAGGAUGACUGGUUGAAAUUUGGUGCAAAAUCAAAAUUAGGUAUGUUUUGAGGACGUUGGUUGGAAAAUUGAUCUGGAUUUUGAUAAUUGUUGAGAUUUUGGUAGCUAAAUGGGUAAUUAAAAGAAUUCUGGGUGUUGAAAUGAUUAUUAUUGGAUCCAUUUCACUGAAAAGAAUAUUAAAACUUCAAAAGAAAAGUUAAUAGAAAGAUAAUAAUAAUAAUAUUAAGUUAGUGAAAAACUUCGUUUUUUUUUUUCUGCGUCCAAAUCAAAUGAACCAAGUUUCUAUUUAUAGACAAAAAAAAAAUCAUGAAUUUUGGUAAAAAAAAAAAAAAAUAAUAAUUUGCAAUGAAAUAAUUGAGUUCAAAUUAUUAAAAUGAAAUAAAUUCAGGCAGCCAAUCAGAAUGCGCCACAUGUUAUACCUUAACCUCUCACCUCUUCUCUCUCUAGGAGUCACUGUUUUCUCCACUCGCGUCUGUCGGCGCGCGCAUCUCACACGCUACCUGUGGCCAACAAAAACGCAACGCGUGGCAAAUGGUCUCUGGCUUUUUUCAGCAUUCAACAUGUUGAAUACUUUCAUCUCCUCUUUCCUUCACAUCAUUUAUCAACCAACUUCAACUCUCCAUUGCAAACCCACCAAGUGUUGAAAUUGACUUGCAACACCACCAUUGUAUGUGGUCUUACCAAUCUCUUCUAUAAAGUUUAAUUUUUCGUGAACAUAACUCAGUUGAUAGAGACAAGUAUUGUUAUAUGAAGGAAUUGAGAUUCGAAUGUCGGACACCCCACUUAUUCACCUUAAUAAAGAUGAAUUUUAACCGUUAGACAACUUGACAAAAAAAAAAUUAAUGAUGACGUUUUUAGAUACUUAACUGAGUCUUUCUUUCAAGUACACAUAAUUCUUUCUAUCAUUUUUAAAUGUCCAUAUCUAAUAAACAUCUUUUUUUUUUAUGUCUAUUUAAUAUUAUAUGUGAAUGUUGCUAAAAUAUCUUUUGUGUACAUGUGUGCCUCAUGAUUUUUUACUCCCCUACAUUUCAAGUUAUCCUGGCUUUAGCCCGUGUAUAUACAUACCGUUUGGUUGGUCGUUGCCCUUGUUUGAGGGGACAACACUCAACCACUGCAAAAUUUAGUUAAGAUUUAUUUCUACAAUUUAUUUGGAUCACAUGUGUUAUUUACUUAACCUGCCAUGUCAAUUAACGUAAAACUCAAUUCUUUAAUUUUAGAGCUCAAGUUUGUUUGAAAUUUGAACGAGGUAUAUAAGUUGUUUUUGUCAAACAAUGGCAAAACUAAAUCAUUUUAUUAAAAAAAUUUGAAUAAGUUAAAUUAAUCCACCCAAAUUAACACCGAAAAGAAUUGAAUUUGAGACCUUGAUUCUCAGAUUCUAAGUCAAUACCACUAUAUCCUAAAUCAUUUUAUUAGAAUUAAUAUAUAGAUAUUGAAAGAAUACAUAUUCAAAUAUCAUAGAAAAUCCCUUCAAAAAAAUAUCAUAGAAAACGUGAGCGUUAUCAUGUGAUCACCCUGCUAGAAAUUAGUAGUUUCAUUAACAUUGUUUUUUAAUAAACUCAACCGCAGAGUUCAUUAAAAUAGUCUAUGUUAUUUUUGCAAUAGUAAAUGUCCAAAAUUAUCCUUUAAAAAAAAAGACAGCUAUUUCUUGAAAAAUUUUAAGUGGAAGAAAAUUUUGUUUGUUAGAUAUAUAACUUACAAAUUUACUUAUGAAUUCAAAUAUAUUUAUCUUAUAAGUUAACACCGUCUUAAGGUCCAUUAGAUGCACAUGAUAAAGAGAUUGAAUAUGAUUAAACUAUCAUAUCUUCAUCAAAUCUGUUGUUUGUUGUUUGGUGCACCAAUAGAAAAUGAUAAGCUAAGGCUAUUUCUAAUCUUAUCCUAUUCACCAUUUGUUUUUCUAAUCCUUGAAUUUUGGUGGGUUAACAACCUGAUAGUAAAAACAUCACACACGUAUUGUUUUAUUAACAAAGGAUCCAUCUUCGACUCUUACUGCAACCACUUUGUCUUUCAAUUUUAUGUUGAUUAUCAAUUUCUAAAUGACGUUAAUUUUCCAAUCGACAUCAAUUUCUCAUCCCGUAUAUGGUAGGUACAAAUGUAAUAUUGAUGCCUCCUUUUCUGACUCUCUGAAUAUGAUAGGUAUUGGCAUAUGCAUCCGUGAUGAUCAGGGUGAUUUUGUCAUGGCUAAGACAGAUUGUUUUUCUCCUCUUUGUGAUGUUGAUGUUGGCGAGGCUGUUGGACUUCACACGACACUACAAUGGGUGGCUGAUCUUCAUUAUGACAAUGUUGAUUUUGUUUUGGAUUGCAAGUCUGUUGUUGAACAUUUUAAUUCAAACCUAGGUGAUAGCAGUGAACUAGGUUGUAUUAUUCAGGCUUGUAGAAAGUUGUUUGAUUGUAAUUUUCAGAACUCUCAUGCCGAGUUCAAUAGGAGGCAAGCCAAUGGGGUCGCUCAUGAAUUAGCUAGGGUAGCUCCAUCUCAUGCUAGCUCCCACGUUUAUGAUGAUGUACCGUCAUGUAUUCGAGACUUGAUAGCUAAUGAAAAGCAAUGAAUUUUUUCCUUAAAAAAAAAAAAAUUCUAUUCCUAAUUAUCGACUUCAAAUUUCUGAUUCUAAUUUACAUCAAUUUCCAAUCGAUAUCAAUUUGAUGUCAAUUUUUGUUCCUAAUUUACAUCCAUUUCUAAUCGACAUAAAUUUAUAUCAAUUUCUGAUUCCUAAUUAUGUUUUAAUCAACAUCAAAUUUUUGUCAUGAAUAUUUGAGUUUGUGUUUGCAUCGUUGUUGCAUGCUUGAGUUUGUGUUUUCACGAAUAUUCUCGUGUUAAAUUUUUGCAAAAUAUUUUAGUCCAUUGUUGCUUCAUAUUAAUCGACAAAAAAAAUUAUUGUUAUCUUCUUUUUUAUCAUGUGAACACUGAUGUUUAUCCUGUCAAUAUAAUAUCAUAUUCAUAACCAAUUAUUUAUCCUAUUAUGUGUACCAAAUAGGCACAUGAUAGAGAUAUGAUAUAUAUAAAGUUUGAUACACACAAGAUAUGAUAUGAAGUUAGUUAAUAUAUAUAAAGUUUGAUACACAAAAGAUAUGAUUUGAAGUUGAUAAAAUAGUCACAAAGAAAGGGGGUUUGAAUUGUGACUCUUUAAAAAUUAAAUCUGUAACUUAAAAUUGAUUCUCAAGUUGAAACUUGGAAUGGUUAAGUUAAAAGCAGACUUCAGAACGUUAUGAUGUCUGAGUGCAAAAACAAUUUAAUGAAGUAAAUGUGUUUGUGUGUGUUGUGUAUGCAGUAAAUAAAGAGUAUAGGGAAGAGAGAAUCAACACACAGAGAUUUUAUAGUGGUUCCCCCAAUGUGGGUUAGUUCACUCCUCACAAUCUAGUGAGAGUUUCCACUAUGAUGCUUGAGAUAACCUCUCAAAUCUUGCACCUUACAAUUUGUGUUCACCUGAACACCUACAACUCUGUAUUCUCUAAGCCUCAGCAGGCUUGCACCUUGUUGCGGAGUUAACCAUUUAGACUUUUACAACCUUUGCUCAAACUAACACUUUAGUACCCCUAAAGCUAGAUGAGACUUUCUUUUCUUCUUGCUAAGUUACCCACUUAGACUUUUACUCCUUCUGCUCAAACUAACACUUUAGUACCCCUAAAGCUAGAUGAGACUUUCUUUUCUUCUUACCAAGUUACCCACUUAGACUUUUGCACCUUUAGCUCAAACUAACACUUUAGUACCCCUAAAGCUAGAUGAGACUUUACAAGAUGUUUGAAGCUUGAAUGAUUGAAAUCAAACAAGAGAAGAAAGGAAGGAAAAGUUAUCUUCAAAGAGAUCAAUUCAGAUGCUAAAGCUUCAAAACAACCUUAAGUUGUUUUUCUUGUAUGCUUUGCACUUUGUGUGGAUUUUGAAUGUUUGAGAAUCAAACAGGGGAGGAAGAAGAAGUUAUCUUUAAAAGAGAUAGCAAAGAGUAUUAAUGUACACUACAAGAAGGUAAAAAGAGCCUUCAGUGAUGAUAAAUUUCAAUUGCAAGAGCUUCAAACAAUUCAAGUUGUUUUCUUGUAUGCUUUGCAAUGAUGCAAGUUUUGCUAAGGCCAUAAUCUCUAUUUAUAGAGUCUUUGGGCUCAUAUAGUCGUUGUAGGGUGUCCAAUGGUAUUAUGCCACGUGUCCUGGGCCCCACAAGCUUUUACUUGAAAAUCUGGGUGAACAUCAGAAUGUUGUUGUGUUCUUCAUCAAAAUGUUGAUAUUCAUGAUGUUCUUCAUCUGGGUUCAUCAAUGAUGAAUGUCUGAUAAGUUUCUGGGUUUGUUCAAGGAGUGACAUGAGAUUUGUUGGGCUUUAUCCACAAAAAAGUAACUUCUCCAUAUGCAUCAAAAGUCGCUGGAUAAAGUAGGAUAAAAUUGAUUCAAAUCUGCCUUGGUCUUUGUGCAGGAGAGAGAGGAUAGUGGGUCUGCAACUCAUGCCCGUGCUUCUAGGAGAUUUGCUAGAUUUUGUUCAGAGUACAAGUUAUCUCUGAUGCAAGAUCUCCUUUUGCUACAUUUUUCUUCUUUCUACCAACUACACUGUUCAUAGCUGGAAAACAUGUGCAUGAGUGAAUAUUCUGACCAUCAGAAUGUUUCAUUUGCUCUUACUUUAGGAUGAUUUGCAAGACUACUUUUGAUGUAAUCAAUCCUACUAGUAGAGACACAACUGAAGUGCAGUAAAGUAACUUCUAGGAUAAUAUCCUCUUUGGAAUAUUCCUAGAACUUCAAGUGUUCAUAGUCUUGAAUGAACCUUGAAGGCCAUUUUGGCACUUUUGCUUGUCCAAUCCUUUAUUGCUAAUACAUCCAUGCAACUGUACUUUCAUGGACAUAUAUUUAUGUCAUAGUUUGCAUGUUCUUCAUGUUCUUGAUGAUUCUAGGCUUGCUUAUGAACAACCUUCUGAAUUAUCAUCAGAACGUUCUGACCAACUCUUUGAUCAACAUUCUGAUCUAACUUUCUGAACUUCAGAAUUAGUUCAUGGAUUCAAUGUCCUUUGAUUCUUGUAUCUUGGUAUUAUUUAAACAUUGUUCCUGUCUUAGUAAAACAUUCAAGAGCACAAGUUAAAUAUCAAGGAAUUAAUCAAAGUCCAUUUAAUCCUUAAUCAUUAAAGUUUAUUAUCUUUAAAAUUAAUUAGGGAUUUUGCAUCAACAAAACUAGUUAGAGAUGAGAUAAACAUUUAUCAUAUCAUUUGUUUGUUGCUCAUAUGGAACACACAUGUUGAUAAUAACAUGAUAUGAUAUAUAUCAUAUUUAAAUCACAAAAUUGUCAUUUUAAUACAAUUGAUUUUCUUCGUUCUUUUUUUUUAUUUUAUUUUUGUGAUUACUAUCAAAAUUUCUAUAAAAAAGAAACAAAAAUUGAAAUCAAUUAGAAGAAGAGGAAAAAAAUGAAAUGGAUAAAAAAAAAAAAAAAAAAGAAGACUCAUAUUGAAAUUGAUAAGGAAUCAAUUUCAAUCAUAAAACUGAAAUGGAUAAAAUAAAGAGUUACAAAUUGAAAUCGAUAAGAAAACCAUAAAGAAAAAAACUAAAAUUGAAAUCGAUAAAAAAAAUAAAAAAUAGAAGGGGGAUCUAUAAAAAAAAAAAUUGAACUUGAGAAAAAAGAGGAGGAAUUUUGAGGAAAUAUAGAGAAUAUCACUUUGAUGGCAGAUGGGCGAGAGGAUGAAAAAGAUGAGAGGAAGGCAAUAGAUGAAGCAAUAUAGAGAGCGUAUAAGAGGCGAGAGGUACAAGUAAGGUGCGGGAAAAAUAAGGAUCCAUUUUAUCAAAUACGACAAGUUAAUUUUAACCUAACAUAAAUUUAGGAAGAAGUAAUAGGAUAUAACAACUAAAAGAAACAAUUUAUCAAAUCUCAUUGAUGUAUCAAAUGAAAGAAUAAAAUAUGAUAGAUUUUAUUAUCCAUAUCCCUUCUCUAUAUCAUCAUCAUCAAACGAACCCUAAAGAUAUGCAUAUCAUCGGCCUCUAUAGGGUGCUAAGCUUGGUAAUCUACUUCAUUUGAAAUGGAAUAUAAACAAAAAAAGUAGUUGAAAAUUUUAUGUAUGUUGAUUAAAUUUUAAACCAUAUACAUUAACUUUUUCAAUUAUCACUUUUAAUUGAAUAAUUAAUGUAUCUCGUUAUAAAUAUAAACUAGAUAUAUCACUUACACAAUGAAGUUAAAAAGUCAUUUUUUAUAACAAAGACAAGAGGAAAUAUAUUUUAGUUUUUUUUGAAGAAAAAUAUAUUUUAGUUGUCAGCCUAAUUAAGGCAUGCACAUCACACUAUCAAUGUGAGUACCGAGAUAGUUACGCAUUUUUCCUUCAAUGGAAGGUUUCUUUCCUCUUUAUACCCCAAUAAAUUAAGAAAGGGUCAUGUUAACUUGUGCCCUUAGGGCACAUGUUAAGCAUUAAGGCUGUGUUUGGUAACACAAAAAAGUUAGUUUAUAGCUUGUUGGACUAGCUUAUAAGCUUGUUGGAUGAAAACAUGAUGUGUUUGGUAACGAGCUUUUUUCACGAGCUUAUAGCUUUUUUCAGAAGCUAUUUCAAGUAGCUUUUUAACUUAUAGCUGAUAGCUUUUUACAUUUUCUUCCAAUAAUAACCUUAUUAUUUUAUUUUUAUUACUUUUUCACUCAUCUGUAAACAAACCAACCGUCCCACUCACUCACGUUUUGUUUUUCUCUUCUCUGAUACUAUUUCAUUGCUUCAUCCACUAUUUCUUUAGCACGUUAUAAAUUCUUAAAAUUGUUUGAAGGUUUUCACUUUUUUUCAUUAAGUUUAUUGGAAAAGAAUUGGGUUUCUUCCUCAAAAAUUCAGAAACAAGAACUAGAAGAAAAUAUGUUAAUUUUGGUAAUUUUUUUAUUUGUUGAUAAUUGUCUUGAUUCAUAUAUAUAUUUGUUGUGUUUUUAAAACAAGUGACAUACUUUACCAGUUACCAGCAACUAGUGAAAAUACGAGGAAGUUGUUUACACACACUUGCGGGGGGGGGGGGGGGGUUGAAUUGAAUGUGUUAUGCUAGAGUAAGCUUGAUAGUAGCAGGUUACGAGUUCUAUUGUUUUUUUAGCAAUAUAAGGUGACAUUGACAUUGCUUGAUUAAAUCGUAUAAUUAGCUACCUUCACCGCUAAUUAAACGUCACAGGAAGUGUACUUGGUCAAUCCUAAUAACUAGGAAUUAUAAGUUGAUCAAUCCUAAUUACUAGGUCAUUUUAUACAUAACUUUGAUUUUUUUAAAUUAAAUUAUCAUGUACUUUUAGGUCAUUUUAUAUUUAUAACUACCAAUUUUAUCAAACACAUUAUUUUUAAUAAGUGAGCUUUUCAGCUAUCAGCUAGUUUAUGGCUUCUUUUUACCAAACAGAGCCUAAUUUCAUUCCUCUAAUGAUAAGAAUUUAAUGAAAAAAAUUAAUAUUAAACAUUUUGAACAAUAAAUUAACACAAUUUCCAAUGCAUAAUUUCCAUUAUUGGAAUUCUUAUCAUGUGCCCUUACAAUAAUAUCGUUUUAAAUCCAUUCUAUUUGAAUUGGUAUUUUCUCCAUCAUUAUUAUUGUGAAAAAACGUUAAUAAAAGAGUCUUUUAAGUAAAUAUAAUGCAUAUAAACUAUUAUUUUUUUAUGUAAUAUUUUUUAUUCACAUGUGAAUCUUGACCAUCCUACCACAUGUCAAUCAUUGACAAAGAAUCACCCUCUCUUUUAACUUCGACAACUAACGAUUUAUAGUUUUAUACUAAUGUAAUAAUAGAUGAUAUGGGUUGGAAAUAAAAAAAAAUUAUAAAUAGAUUGAAGAAGUGGGUGUUUAGAAUCCUAUAAGGAGGGAAAUAGGACAACUUUUAUGAGAGUUUUCAGUUUCAUACUUAUAUUAUGUUUUUACUUUCUCUCUCUAUUGCUUUAGUUUUUGUGUCAAUACCUUAUUUUCUUUAUAAAAUUUUAGUUGUCUCAAAAAUUGUUAUAUAAAUGGAUUUUCAAAUAACACAACUCUUAACUUAAAUAGACUUGGCUGAUAUAAAAUUUUAAAGUUUGAGUUUAACUUAUUACCUAUCAAAGGUCAAUUUUUAAGGUCUAGUUCACUCUUUUUAAAAGCUUAUAUUGAUCAGAAAGCCUAUUUAAAAAUAUAUUUUAUAUUGAUGUCUUUAGAUAUAAUGUAAUUAAAUGGACCAAUGAGCCUAAAACUAAGUAUGUUUAAAUAUUAGGAAGGUCUACCAAUCUAUUAACGCUAUGCUGAGAUGCUCUCGACCAAGAGUAAAGAUCCUCUCCAUUUAUAAAAAUAAAUGGAAGAUGCAAUUUGGAGAGAGAUAGAUACAUAAAAUAGUUAGUGGGUUCUAUCAUUAAGUGAGUUCUAUCAUCAUUAAUUACUUUUUACUCUUUUGUGUGUCUUUAUCUCUCCAAAUUAUAAAAAGGAAGAGGAUGAUAAAUGAAGAAGAUCUUAACUCCUCGACCAAUAUGAGAUAACAUAUGUUAUAUAUAUAUAUAUAUAUAUAUAUAUAUAUAUAUAUAUAUAUAUAUAUAUAUAUAUAUAUAUAUAUAUUAAUAAAUAUUAUAUUAUUAUAUAAUGAUAUAAUAUUAUAUAUCACAAAUUGUAACAUUUAAUUAUAUAAAAUAAAUAGGUUUGACUAUUGAUUAAGUUUAAGUAGUCUUUUAAAAGGUCAAAUUUAGUUUAUUUAAGUAAAUAGACUUUUUUUAAAACUCUAAACUCAGUUUGGUUACUAAACAAGUCGAGCCGAGCUAGACCUUAAAUAUACUAGGUCAUAUGCUCUUGUUGGACGACCAAGUCUACUUCCAUUCAUAUUUAACUAUUAAUUCAUAGGUCGAUUAUAUCGAUGUUUAUCGAAUUUUUGAACGCACCUGUGAAAAUUGUCUUAUUUAUUUCCUAACAUUUUUGGCAUGCACACAUAUAAUCCUAGAACGCUUGGUCAAUAACUUGGAGAGUUCUCAAAGCACAAAAAAUUUCAGAGCAGAGUAUAUAUCCAUUGUCAAAAGAGCGUUGAGCAUAGAACUGAUAGGUACUUGCAAUUCUAUCUUCAUUUUGCUUAUUUUUUGGUCAAAGACAAGCCCUUAAGUAGUAGGACACAGAUUUGUCAACUAAAAUUUGUUAGAAUUAGUUAUCAAAACACAUUCUUUAAUUAUAAGCUUUAACUUUAAAAUGGGAUUUCAAUUAGUGGUCGGUCAUGUGGAUUGCUUUGAAAGUUGGUUAGAUUUCAAGACACGACACAAAAUUAGUCAUGACCCCGCAUGGUUUGUGUUUCCUCAAUCACUUUCUGAUCUGAUUCACUGAUUUGAAUUAUCAAGCUCAAAUAAAUAAAGUGCAUAAUCGGGGAAUAGUUCAUUUUGAUUUUGAUAUGUUACAUUACCAAGUAUUAGUGAAAAUAACAUAUUCUUUUCAUGAAAAAGCAUAAGCUUACUUUUAGGCUUUCCAUUGCUAGGUAGAUGUAAUUUUUUAAGUUCACUUGUGCGACGUUUGUCAAAAGAAAAUCCACUUUUUAGAUUGAAAAUUCCUAAUUAAACAAGGCAGACGAUUAAUUAAUCAUAACAUACCAAUAAUUUCUUUGUGAUCUCCACGGUUUAUGACUUUUAAUUGUAACUACCAUUUCUAACCACUCCAACAAACUAAGGAAUGGAUGUAAAGUCCCAAGAAUUUUAGGCAAUUGUUUGUCUUGCACCAUCUUUCACAUAAUUCAUCAUCUUAAUCAAUUUUUUUAACAUAGUUGCCUACUAUUUUAGGCAAUUGUCUUGCACCAUCUUUCACAAAAUUCGUCAUCUUAAAAAAUACUUUAACAAGUACUUUAAUUAAAUUUCAAAGAAGGGGAUUUGGAUAAGGUGGGACUGUGGGAGUACUUUCAAUGUUGAAAUUCAAGGCUAUCAUAAACUACUUUCCACUUCCCAAAUAAAUAGUUUAUGAAUUAUGAGUGUGAUGUGAGAGUAAGCUUUUGACAUCAACACGACAAAUAUAUCACAUUCAAACUUACCAUGAACUCUUUGGGAAAAUAUUUUUUAUUUUUAAAAAUUUGUGAUAGUUUGACUGGUUCACAAGAAGAAAAUAAAUUUUUAAAAAAAAAUCAUUGUGAUGGUGAGAAGAUAAAAUCUUGUUAGGGAUGAUGCAUUUCAUAAAAUAAUAAAAAUAACAAUUUUUGACAUUUCAUUGUUUUCAGAAAUGAAUGUUAAUUGUUUGCUUCAUUGUUCUUAAAAAAAAAAGUCUCUUUUCUUCUUGUCAACAAAUACAGAUUUUAUAAAAUUAAAAAAAAUUCCUACAAAGUUAAUGGAGUCGAAUAUUGUUUUUUUAAUAACUUCAAAUUUAGAUCCAAAGAAUUGUUUUUUUAAUAACUUAAAAUUAAGAUCCGAUGAUUCCAUAUUGUGAAUCAUGGUGGAGCCUAACAAAGAAAAAAAUUUGGAAGUAAUUAAAAUGAUUGAUUAAUUUUUUUGACAAGAAGAUGAUCAAUUAUUAUUUAUUUAUUUUUUGAGAUGAUUGAUUAUUUAGAAUCGAUAAAGUGAAAAAAACACGAUUAAUAAAUAUGUAGGACAAUCUUCAUAUAUUUUUUUGUUUAAGUUAAAUUAAUCAACUUAAAUUGAUAUAGUAAAAAUCAAAUUUAAGACAUUGUAGAAGAGCACACUCUAACAUUUCAAGCUAAUACCAUAGACCAACUCAAGUGGUUACACACUCUUCAUAUUAUGAUCAUAACUGAAAUAACCAAUCUAAAAUAAUUUGCAACUAAUACUAAUCAACCACCUUUAGAAAACACUAAUUUUUUUUAAACAAAAAAAAUAUACUAAUUAACCAACUAAUUAAACUCCAACUUUUAUAAAAAGAAGAAAAAAUAUCUAACAAAUAUGUAUACGAUCCCAAAUAAAAGGUCAAACAUUUUUUUUUCAAAUAGUAAAACUUUAUUUAGUCUAUAUUUGAAUUGAUGAUGGUGACACCGAAAUUUUGUAAAAUUACAAAAUUUAACUAAUUUUGACACUGUAUUCAAGUAAUUGAUCACUGCAUUUAUGUCAAUCUUACUUGUAAUUCAAACAUACACUUAUAAUAUAUCAUCAACAUUAACAAUGUCACAACUAAUGUUCAAUAUGUCCCAAAACACAUCACUUAAAGAUGCAUCAGAGUUAAAAACAUACCUUAAAUUUAAGCAACAUUAACAAAUAUAUUAUCGGUAAGAUGCAUCAGAGCCAUUGACAUUGUAACUUUUUUUGAUGACUUCCUCUGCACGACUUGUGCGAGAUGAGUCACAAGUGGUUCUUAAUAUAUUCCAUUUUAACUUAUUAAAAAAAAAAAAAAAUUAUAGUGCCAUAGUGGCAAUCCGCUAUGUAUGGGUAUCGCUUUUUUCGUUAUCCUUUGCCAUUCCCUGCUCUUACUUAUAUUGCUGCAAGCUCUUCAUGGAUGCUGACACUUUGAACGGUAGUUGGCAAUUUGAUUUUGGUCAUUUGAUGGUAAAACAAUGGCUAAAGAUAUUCAUGGAGUCUGGUCAGUGACGUGGGAGUUUUCCACCGACUGUGAAGGUACACGGCGGUGUUUAGGGUGGGAGAUCUUUAUAGGUCUCCUACCGUACAUGACCUCUUUUAUUUUUUUUUUAUUUUUUUUUUUUACCUUUGGACAUUUCCUAACCGUUAGAUUGGUUAAACAUACCAUAGAUCAAAUACACUUGAUUAUCUUUUCAUUUGUCUUCUUUCCUCUCAACUCUCAUGAGCUUUCACCUUUCUCUAUAUACCUCUCUGUUUAUUCUCCCUUUGCCAAUUACACUAUUUCUUUGUUCCUUAUAAUACGAACAUCGGAUUUGAUCUAGAUUUUCCAACCAUCUAAAUAUCCAUUUUUUUCCUUCAUUGUUCUAUUCUUAAUUGUUCAAAAAAGUAAUACUCAGAUCUGGAAUAAAUUUGAAAAAGAAUGGUACUCAAAUGCUAAUCAAUUUUCCUUCAUUGUUCUACUCUUAAUAUUUCAAACAAGCCCAAUAAAUAAAAUGUUAAAACUUUCAUAUUCAUCAAAGAUAAAAAAAAAAAACUGCAGAUUUAAUCAAUUUUUUGACAAUUCCUUUUAAAAUGCUAAUCAAAUUGGAAUUCAAAUUCAUCUUUCAAUAAUACUUUGGCUUUGUUUUGUUUUGAUCGUUCAAUAAUUUCCUUUGGGGACAUCCGAAGUUGAAAUUGAAGCAUUUUUCAUGCAAAUUGAAAUUAAAUAUAGCAGCAGAUCUGUGUUGAUGAAGUUUGAGAAGCAAUCUCAAGUUAUUUAAGUGAAAUAUAAUCACGAGGAGCAAGCAACAUGCAAGUACAAAAGGAGCAAUUGGAUUUAUAUUGUGAUGGGGAAGGAGAUGAAGAUUUGGGUGUUCUUGUGGUUGCUGCAGUUGCUGUUGUUGGGUAAGAGAAAGAAUGAUUCCGAUAGAGAGGAGAGAGAAUGAGAAAGUGAAAAUAAGACGAAAAAAAUAUUCAGUGUUGAUGGUGUAAGUUAAGAAUCAUGGAACUACAUUAUUCAAUGAUUAACAUCUAUUUUACCAAAAAAAAAAAAAAAGUCAAGUCUCCUACGGUAGGAGACCCAAAGAGAUCGGCUACCGUAGCCUUUGCCAAGGUACACCUCAUACGUUCUUACAUGAACAUAAUCAAACCAAUUAUUUUUUUUUGAUUAAAAUCAAUCCAAUUUUUUAUUUACCCAAGAUCACCUAGUAGACAUGAUAUAAAUAUCUUUUAGCUGAACUAAAGUCACUUGACGGUCAAUAUGAAUCCUACAAAAUUCGAGUGAUUAGUCUCUACAGUUACGCAUGAAGGAUAUGUAUGUUUGAAUUUACGGUAAGUAUAGUAGAAACAUUAUCACUGCCAUAACUUUGGCAAAAGCUACCAUUUGAGCUUAAACAAAAUCAAUGUGUCAUUAUUAUUUUUUCAAAUCUAUAUUGUUCAUUGAAACAUGCACUAAGACUAUGAAGACAUUUUGUUACCACAUUUUCGCUCAAAAUCCUAAAACAUUGAAAAUUUGAAUUAAAUAUUCGAUUUAUGAUUCAUUUAGAAUUAUUUCUGAUGUAAGGACUAACCACACUUAAACUCCAACACCUUCUCGAAGAUGCAUCCAACAAACAAGCCAAAAUCCAUAGUUGACCACUACAUUUGCACCGUCCAUUAAUCUAAUCAUGAAUAUGGAAGUUCAGGUUCAAAUCUCAAACCUACAUUAAUUAAUUAUUCUGCGUGUAUGUUAAUUGAGUGCCUAACUUAUUUUGUAAAAUGAGAACACCAAAUUGAGAGCCUAUCUUAGAAUUAAUUUAUACGCAUAAAGACCCUACAAAAGUUUAAGAAUUUGUAUGUCGCCAAGAAUUAAUUAGGUUGUUGCGUUUUUUUAAAUGGAAUUGUUAAGGCGUUGACAGGUUUUAGCAUGAGACAAAUCUUUCUUAGCAAUUUUAUAUCAAUUAAUUGGUAUAUCUUUUUAAAAUAUUCUGACAUUGUUAAUCAUUAAUCAAUGUAUUAAAAAAAGUGAAUGAAUGUGUAAUAAUGGUACAUGCAUUAGCAAGUUGACUUAUGAGCCUUAAGAUGUAGACCAAAUUUUGGAUCCGUCUUGAAACCACAUGGGAUGAUUGUCAAAACAAUAUAAUCUGAUUGGUUUUAGAAAGAUAGACAAUUAGUAAAAUGUCCAAUAAUAUUGCUUCUUCAAAAAAAAAAAUGUCCAACAAUAUUAAUACUGUAUAAUCAUUAUUUUUCAACUGCCAUCUCGCAUCUGUCAUAAAUCAUGUUUCUACUAGUUUGAUUGAAUAAGAAUCUUUUAUAGUUUUUCAAUUUUUUUUAUAGGAAAAUGCUUUAACUAAGAGACUAGUUAAAAAUCAAAUAUAGUAAUAUUUAAAUCGAGUUAUAUGUUAACUUGUGUCUUUAGAGUACAAGUUAAAAAACUAAAAAUGAAAUUAAAAGUUAACUUUUGUAUUGAAAAUAUAAAAUUUUAAACUUUUAAUACAAUAAAUGUACAAUUUUCAAGAAAAAGUAUCUAUGUUUAGUUUUUGGGCACAAAUUAACAUUUCCCUAUUUAAAUUGGAAGUUAGGUAGACAAUACAUCAAAAAUUUAAAAAUUGUAUUUUUUGACUAAAAUUUUCUUUUAUGAGUUUCUUAACUAGUGAUUCGGACGCACUCAUUAACAUGAUCUUUUUUUAUAAAAUAGUUUUUACCAUUAAUUUUCUUUAUAAAAUUUGUAUUUAUGUUCUUAUUAAAAGCAAUCUUUUUUUUCUAAGUAAACUAGUGAUUAGAAUUCAUCUUAUGUGAUAAAUGAAAAUAUAUGUGUUCGAACUCUAAUCCCUAUAUUUUAUAACACAUUAGUCUUACCAACUGAAUUAUCUUAAAGGACAAUUGAAAACAAUUUUAUUAUAGGUAAAUAUCAAUAAAGCGUGAGAAAAUUGAUUAUGAACCUCCUGGUUGGUGUUGGAACAAAAUGUGUUUUACAAUAAACCUUAAUGAGUUUUGAUGAUAACAAGGUAUUAAAAAUUGUCAAUUGGAUAUUGCUAAUAUUUGUUCAAGUGUACAAGACCAUAGACAAGUUGAUCAACAUAAUAGGUCUUGGAAGAACAAAAGAGAGCAAAGGAAUCAACAAGAAGAGAAGAAACCUAGAAGCAUCUGAAGAAAUCAGCAUUUGAAGUCUAAAGUGCGUCUGAAGCCAAAAUGCAUAUGAUGACGUCAUCAGAAGCAAAUCCGUCAGAAGCAAGACCUUCAGAACCCAUUUGUUCAGAAGCUGUAUAACAUCAGAAACUGCAAGUUGAUUAGAAGAUUCAACCUGAAGACUCUAAGAGCUGUCUAUUGGAUUUAACCUCGUCUAAGAGAGCGAAAGACUAAAAGGAAGGUGCCAACGUUCAUUUGAAAAGCACUGGGUGCUUGUCCUUCAUUGAAGAGUUGACAAAGUACAAGUGUACAACCACUACCUCCACGAAUCUGUUUGUGUCUACGCUACAAGACAAGAAAAACAGCUCUGCCUGCAGAAAUGUUCCUUCAAGAUAGGAAUGGAUUUGAACGUGAUUCUUUAUAGGACAACAUCCAAAUCAGGAAAAAGAUCAUUGGUAUUUGAUCAAGGUUUCUCAACGACUCUUUUGACGUGCUUAAAGAUCUCAACGUCUCUCUACACACCUCUAUAUAAAGGAGUGAAGACUUGAAGAUCAGCAAAGACAAUACAACAAGUUAAAAGCGCCCAAACUCUGCCAAAUUUGUUUCUCAAAAAGCACUUUGAAUUUCUGUGUUGAUUUGAUAUAUCUUAGAAAUUCUUAAGUCUAGAGUCUUUCAAUUGCAUUGUAUUGUGAACACCACUGAUAGUAUAUCAAGUGUUCAAACUCAAACAAUUUACUGUGUAAUUCUGUUUGAUUAGAAGUCUCUUGUUUUAGUGCUUGAGCAAAGGAAGUCUCUUGCUUUAGUGCUUGAGCAUAGGAAGUCUCUUGCCUGUGUGCUUGAGCAUUUGUGAAGUCUCAUACUAGGUAGUAUUGAGCAGUUGUAAUCUGUAUGAUUAUUUCUUAGUGGAAAUCUCCUUGGAAGUGCAAGGGGGACUGGACUACUUCCGGUUUGUGGAAGGAAUCAGUAUAAUUGCUUGUGUCUCUCUUUCUUUUCUUUACUCUGUUUUUACUCCGUUGCGUAUCCGAUUCUGAACAAUACAUCAGAAGCAAUUUAAUUGCAUCUGAAAUAUUAUCACAUCAGAAGCACUCUCAAACAGCUUCUGAAGUGAUAUCAGAAGAAGAUUUUUAAAAGAGAAAAAGAAAACACAAUUCAACCCCCCCUUCUUGUGUUUUUCUCACCUUCAGCUGGUUCCUGCUGCAUAUACCCAUUCAACUUCCAAAUUCAAAUCAAUGGGGUAUUCCUUCUAGGACAUUCCAAAGAGAGCUUAUAGCUUAUAACUUAUAGCUUAUUUUUACCAAACAGAGCAUAUAUCUCAUAGUUGACGGCUGAUAACUGAUAGCUUAUAACUGAUGACUGAUAACUGAUAAGCUACUUGAAGUGUUUGGUAAAAUUAGCGGUUCAAUUAGCUGAUAGAUGCAAAAUAACAUAAAAAGAUAUUUUUAAUUCAUAAUAAAGUUUAUAUCAAUUAAUGUUUAAAGUAUUUAAAAAUUAAAAAUUGUUAAUUUAAUAUUAUUAUUAAAUUUUUAAUUCCUAAAUGUUAAUUUAUAUUUAUUUUCAUUUGCCUAAAAAGUUAGAUAUAAAGUUUAAACGUAACAAUAAAUAAAAUAUAGUGUGUACAAAAAUAUAUAUAUUGAAGGUAAACGUAACGUUCUCAUUUUUUUUGUUGGAGAAAAUUAUUGUCCUUGUUCUUUUUUUUUUUUUUUUUUAACAAAAAUAAUCAUUCAUUCAAAUUGAUAGAGUACAUUAAUACAAUUCAAAUCCAAAUUCGCUAAAAGGGAUGAAUUUGUGAACAAACUCACAACAUCAAUGUUAAUAGCAUAAAACGGAAAAGUACCUAUGCCUAUAAAUUUAACUAAUAUGACUAUAUUUAUGUCUCCAGAAUACUCAUGUCUCCGGAUCUGCAACGUUGACGGUGCCAAAUUAAUAUUAUCCUUGUUCUUAUUCUGUACAAUUCUGAUAUAUCAGAGUAUCUCUACGCAUAUUAUUUCUACUUGCAGAUCUUACAUCAUUUUACCUUAUCAAUUUUAUUGUACUGCUUUGACUUUCUUUUUGUAGAUUUACAACAUACGUUUAUUUUUGUACACAAAAGAAACAAAUAUAGGUUUACAAAGUAACAAUCUUAACCACCAUAACAUUUAUUUUUCUAAACCCAAUUAGAUUUAAUUAUACUAUUUUGAAGCAUCUCAAUUGAUGAUCUGAUGUUGCACAUGUUUGUGAAUGGGAAAACUAAGAUUAGAAUCUAAAAUAUGGUUACGUGAAGAUUCCAAUAAGCAAUUUAUUGAAUAUCAUGUGACAAUUGUUUAUCUUACCACUAAACUACAUAUUAUAACUACUCCAUAUAUUUUGUGCUUACAAGCAUAAUUAUACACAGUUCUUCUUUAUUCCUUUAAAUUUCCAUAGGCUUUACUAUUGAGCCAUGUGAGCACAGCUAUAUUUUGUGUUUUAAUUCUUCAUCAUUACAUCACAUAUAUAAUGAAUAGUAUUUUAUUCAAGUUCAUUCAACUUGGAAAUAGUACAAUUUAAAAGGAAAUUGUUUAUCUGUUACAAGAGGAAAAUUAAACAAGAGAUAAUUGUUCAAUUACACAAUUGGCUCGUACUGCCAAAACAUAAAUUAGAUUGUAAUUGUACAACAUGUUGCAGCUCUUGUACUUUUAGGUUUUCUCAACAAAACCUCCUUUGGGAUCUUAAUGUGUAUAUUGUUGAUUGUAAUUCAAGCUAGCAAAUAAGAGAUUAGUUGUUGUUUGUGAUGUAGGUUACAAAGUUGUUAACAGAAGCUAGAAGUUAGCAAUGAUAGUGGUAACUAACAGACUGGUUACUUGCCUGACAAGUAAUUAAGGUUAGUUAGAGUCAUACUCCUCUAUAAAAAAGAGUAAUGCACAGUUGUAAAAUGAAGUCUUCAUUCUAUAAUAUCAUUCAAUAAUAAUUUUCUUUCAGACACUUCUUUAUCUCAAUUUCGGUAAAAGUUCACAGUGGUAUCGAAACCAACAUUGGAUGGGUCAACUGAAUAGUUAGUAUCUAUUGACAAUGAAUUAAGCGUGCGAUUUUAGUGAGCUUGAAUAUCCUCCUUAUUGUACAAACUUUGGUGCCAAGAAAGUAGAAACACUUCAAUUAUUAUAAACACAUAUCAUUUCAACAUCAGAUUAUAAACUUCAACAUGGACAUUUAGUCUUUGUCAAAAUGCUGCAUAAUAUAUAACCCAUCAAUCACCAAGCAUUAUUAAGCAAACAUGGCCUUGCUCCUAGUUUUGUCCACCAAAUAUCGUACAAAACUAAAAGUUGUUUAAUACUAUAAAAGUUUGUCAUUGCUGUUAUGUCUUGUGUUGUUUUAUGCAUUAUUUACCUUCUAGCAAAUCAAACGCAACCUAAGAGUUUUGCCAAGCUUACAUCUUUAAAUAAGUUAAUUCCAAGUGGAAACCUUAUCACUGGUUGUGUGACCCCCUCAAUCACUAGGACUUAGUAAGGAUUUGACGUUAUGCAUGAGGUGGAAUACUACGAGCACUAACUGGAAAAUCAUGAGCUUGUUCAAAGUGUCUAUGUGGAACCAUUGUACUGAAGUUAACCCAUACUUCCAAGUAUGUCAAAGAACCGGAAACUUCCCCAAAUAAACCAAAGUACUGUCUCAUGCACACCAGGUUAUGCUAUAUCGUUGAACCUGAAAGAACCGGAAAUCUACAAUUCUUCUGGUAGAUUUUGCUUAAUUUUUUUUUCUUGAAAUUAACAAUAUUUGUUCUCAUAAGCUAUUAUUUAUUUUCAAAUUGAGAACUAUGAUGAAAAGAAAACAUGUAUGUAUAGGAACCUCUUGUCUGUAUUAGGCUUGGAUUUAAUUCCAAGCAAAAAAUAAAUUCCAUGUGUAACAUAACGAUAUCAUCAUCAAAUAUAGUUUCAAAGGAAUACUCUAAAUUAAAUCUAAAAUAAAACAAAAACGAAAGCAUCCGUGAAUCUGGAAAUAUGAAGAUCAUAGGUGUACAGUGUACUACCCUGAAAAGUACCAUGUCAGUUCUAAAAUAAAUCUCUUCUUACAAUGUAAUAAAUCUAAAAUUCAACAUGAAACAUAUCUACCAGCAAUCAACAAGGGAAACUAUUAUAAAAAACAAAACAUUUUACAUUUUAGAAUUCAAACUUCAGCAGAGUAGAAGACAUACAUGCAUGACUCAAGAAGAGUUCUUUCUCUAUGUCAAUGGAAUGAUAGCAAGGUGGAACAAAUGAUGGCCGUGAAAAUAUCAUCGAGCCAACAACACUAGGAUGCACUUUAUAGCAGCCCCUCAAUUUUAGUCUUUUCUCAUAGUUUCAUGUGCUUCUCUCCCUUCUAUGUGAAGACUAACCUAAAUGUAGACAAAUUAUUGCUCCAAUACUUACUUCAAUCUCCAAAAGCUCUCCCAUUGUUUCUCUCUUCUUCCAAAACUUUCUCCUUCUUCUGGUUUGCACUGCCCUAUUUUAUACAUCACGUUGAAUUCCAAUUGCCGUCUCAUUUCCUUUGGGCCUGCGUGUGUUCUUUUAAUUACUUGGGCCUCAAAGUCUGGAUUCAUUUCUUUUCUCACGCUACUCACUUCUCCAUUUUGGCUCGGCUUAUAUUAUAUAAUCUGAACCAAAAAAGUGUUGUUCAAAUUAUAAAAUUAGAAACAUAUACUUAUAUAUAAGUAACAAUCAUAACCUUUUCUCAUUUCAGGAGUUGCAAAUUAUUAUUUUUAAUUUGGUCAAAUAACCUAGUGGAUAGAAAGAAAUUCACCUUAAAGUGAAAAAAUGGGGUAAAAAGUUGAGUAUCUCAUGACAUUUUAGAUGCACGAACCAUUCUUAGAUUACAAAUUCUUAAUUAAAUAAUGUUAAUCCAUAUUUCAUCACUCCUAUGUGUGAAAUAUAAGUAUUUAGCUGUAUGAUUUGUUUUUCUUUUAUAUUUAAUUUAUGCAUUGUUAAAUCUGGUUUUCUUAUACUAUUUUGAUGCCAAGUGCUAUUAUAGAUAUUUGAUAUAUUUCUACUAUCAUUCUUAUAUUAUAUUUUAAUAUUAAUUAAAGUAAUUAAAGUGGAAGAAUUGGUGAAUAUGUGGAUAAUUUUAUUUAAUUAUUUAAAAUAUAAAGAAAUAUUACAUCAAAUAUUAAAAUGAUCUUUCACUUAUUAUAUUUGUUUAUAGGCUUAAAUAUGUAUUUGAUCUUUGCAAUUAGAGGUCGUUUAAAAAUUGGUCCCUGUAUUCGCUAAUCCUUACAAUCAUUAAUCAUUUAAAAUUUAGUCCUUUGACCAACUUAAUCACUGCCAAACAUGAAAUUCCAAUUUUGCCCUUAAGAAGAGGACAAAAUAUUGAAGAAAGAAUUGGAAACCCCGGGGUAAAAUUGGAAUUUCAUGUGACGUGGCAGUGAUUAAGUGGGGAGAGGGACGAAAUUUUAAAUGAUUAAACAAUGCAGGGGUAAAUUGCCAGAAUUAGCGAUUACAAGGACCAAUUUUUAAACGAUCCCUAAUUGCAAGGAUCAAAUACAUAUUUAAGCUUCGUUUAUAUUUUAUAAAUAAAUACUAUGUUGAGCUGUAUCGGGAACGGGUCAUGCCUCCAUUGAUAGACUUAUAUAAUUCAGUCAUCCUAUCAUAUCUACUUUAAAACAUAAAAAACAUUCUUCAUCAUAAGAGACAUAAGAAUUCUCUCGACCCUAAUUUCUCCCAAGUCUCUCUAUGGAUCCUUCAAUCAUCCAAGAUACACGGAUAUUCUUUUACAAAAUCUCUACGAUUUUGAUCCUGUGUUCAAUUCCAACAAAUUUAAGGUGCAAAAUGGCAAUAAAACAGGAGCACUAGAUAAUAAGUUUCAGACAGUAUAAAUUGUCAAAGUUCAUUUUUAGAGAGUAAAAUGUAUCUUAAAAACUAACACUUGUAAAAAUAAACUUUCAAAAAAAUAUAGGCUACGAAGAAAAAGAAAAGAAAAGUGGUAGUAUUAAUAAUUAACCCCCCUAAUUUGAGUAUAUAAUUUCAUUUGUGCUGUUUAGGAAACUACGGGAAAAAAUAUCAACACCUGAAUCAAAAGAGACUAUACAGAACAGAGCCCAACCCACCCUAUCAACACAUAAAUUAUUCAUUCUGCUGCACAUGGAUUGUGAUUUUUUUUUCAUCCGUUGGAGCCAGCCUUACAUGGGCAUGCCAAAGCUAUGAAUUUUGGAACCAUAUCUCCUGGCAUCAACACAGGCAAGCUUUGAUCAUGAUUCUCCUUCAUCAUCUAAACACAAUAAUAACAAAUCACAUUAAUUAGUUUCCACACAAGAAAAAAUUAAUGUUUUUUUAGUUACAAAAUAGAAAUCACUGGCUAGUGAAGUAAAUUACCAAAACAGGAAAUCCUGGUUUGUGGUGAGAGGAAGCAAAUUCUGGUUGUAUACGAGGUUGUGGGUUGAUAAUAACAUUAACCACAGAAGAUGGAAAUAAAAAUUGGAGUUUGUCCCAAUAUAAACAACAACAAAAGAAACAACAAAUGAAGAAUAACAAGAAAACAAGAAGAGCUAAACCCAAUGGGAAUCCAAUGUAUGGUGUCUCUUCAAUUUCCAUUUUUCUUCUGUAUCUGUUGUUUUGACUCUCAUUUCACCUGAAUGAAUGAAACAUAUAUAGGUUUUAAUUAAUAACCAUGAAAAAGCAUGACCGAAUUUGCUUUUCAAUUUAUUGGCUUGUUGUUGAUAGUGCGCACUUAUUUGUGAGUGGAGUUUGAUUCAUGAUGUGAGUCAGAUUGAAUUUGGUUUAGGAGUGGUGGAGGUACAUUUACGUUUCGUACGGCAAACUUUGUUUUAUUCAUAACAACGACAAUCAUAAUUUUUUAUGUCACGUAUUCUCAUUUCUCAACUUUCUUUUUAUCAUAUUUGAAAUAAUCAAAUGCUGCAUAAACUUAUUAUGUCCAUCAAUAAAGUAAUAAAUUUGUUUUUUCAUGACUUUAAAAAGAAGGAUUCAUUAUCUGACCUGAAAUACAAUACUAAUUAUCUUUAGACAUUUUUUCAUACUGUUGUGUUUUUUUUAAUUUAUCCCGACAAAGAAAGCGUCCACUUUCAAUGGUACAUAUUAUUCAUCAAGUUUUGCACCAUAGUGGUGUACUGGUAGUCUAGUACUAGUGUUAAGCACGGGUGCUUAUAAAGGUGAAAUUUUGAAAAGCAAAUUUUCAUUCCAAAUUGGUGAUUCAAAAACAACACUUAUUUUACAGCUUAUUAAUAAAGAAUUGGUUCAAUUGCUCAUUGAAGUAGAUUGUGUCGUUCUUAAAUUGUAAUGAUUCGAUUAAGUUCUUUUGACACUUCCUCCAUCGGGUCUAUCAAAAUGGAGUGGAGGCAUUAGGUCUCUGUCGCUAUCAAAAAGUUGAAAAUCAAAGGUGGAAAACAUUAAAAAGUCGGGCACCUCAAUUGGUUUAAGCUAAAAAUUAAGGAGUUUAGAGUUUAGGGUUUAAGUCCUAUAAAAAAAAGAGUAAAACUAACAUAACAAUUAACAUACUAAUAUUUUUGUUGUUAAAAAAAGAAGUUGGGGAAAGCAUUAUAUAGUAUACUAAUAUUUUAUGUUUUGAUACAUUUUAUAGUUAGAAUUUAAAAUGGAAAACACAUCGAGAAAAAAAAAAAAACUAUCGUUAUAGACAUAAAUUGGUGGAAACUUCUACGGUACACAUCACAAAUUGAGGUGUACCGAUACUCCUACUACAUAAAUUUAUAAAUUAACAAUCAUUUUAUGAAAUAAGUAGUUAUGUGUCAAUGUUUAUAUUUUUGAAAACACCAUCUCAUGAGAAAAAAACAUAAUUUCAUUGUUUAUAAGAAUUAUAUUAAAUUUUUAACAUUUUCUCAUAAAAAUAAUCAAUAUUCUUCAUUAUGAGCAAUAAAAAUUCAAAAGAGUAAAUUUUAUUUCAUCGACGCUUUUGGUAAAUAAAAUUUAAUUAUUAUAAUUGUCAAUGAUAGAAAGUAAUUCUUUUUUCUUUAAAAAACAACUAAUUUAAUUAUUAAUUUAAUGCUUUGAUGUACUGGUACACUCAAAAUGUUGGGUGUACCAUAGAAUUUGAUUAAAUGAGUAUCCUCAACCUCAAGUGGAACAAGUUCAAGAAAAAUUCUCCAUAAUUUUUUUUAUCGUUGUUGCAUUCGAUGACCUCAUCAUAUUUGACAGUAUUGAAUACCUCGUUUUACAGUUAGCAUGCAUGAGGUUAUAAUUUAAAAUCUCAUGAGAUAUCUCAAUAAUGGAUAUCUCCAUUAAAAUAUCUCACACAAGGUAAAUUUUUCUUCCUUACUGCUCUUAUUAAGACUACAUAAUGUUGGUGCUCUUACUAUCUCCACUGAAUACCUCAUAAUGAUUUUUUUAAUUUGGUUGGUAUACUUAUUUUUUUUCUUGAAUAGCAAUUGGUUGGUAAUUCCUCAUAAUGUAUGAGGACGAAACACUAAACAGACAUGAUGGAUAUAUGAUUAGAGGUGCAAGAAAAUGAGGUAGUAAAUCGGCACAUGUGAGUAAUAAAACGACAUUAUUAUUGACUAAACCAACAAUCAUUUCCAUUUUUCAAACAAAAUAAAUUAGAAGGCUUUACGUGACAUGAGUUUUCACUUUUCACAUUCAAGUUUCUUAAAUAAAAGCCGUGAGGGUCAUUUCAUUGGUCACAACUCAUAUCUGAACGAUUCUCGUGAAUUAUACUCCUUCUUUGCUAAUAUAUCAACGUCUCUUCAGAGAUUUUGAUUUGAUUUUAGGAACAGAUCUAAAUUAACAUCCUUCUUUUUCGACAGAUCUAAAUUACAUCUUAAUGAGUGUUACAAUAUUUAAUCCUUCAAAAUUAACAUUAGAGGCAAAUAUGUUAGGCAAAUAAUGUGUUAGUUUCCAAUGUUUAAACCUCAGAUCUCUUCAUUAAUACUCAUCUAAUAUCCCUCAACUCACCAACUGAGUUGUUUGCUUGGGAAGAUUGUGUCGUCGUUAUUGCCAAGAGGCUCUAAUGUGGUGUGGUUAAACCUUUUUUUUCUUCAUAGUACAUCAUUCAUAAUUCAUGUAAACCAAAUAAUGUUUUUGUUUCAUGACAAAUGUUAAAAGUUAGUUUGUUAAAUUAAUAUUUUACUUUUUUGUUGAGUUUGAACCCGGACCUUCAACACAUUUUCACUUAACUCAACCAUUUAAGUUGCUCAACUCCCCAAUAAACAAAAUAAUGUUAAGUUAUCAUAUUAAAUAAAUUUUAAAAAUGAUUUUUUUUAAAGAGGGUUUAAGAAUAUUAUAAUUAUAUCAAAAGAAUUUACAAAACAAUUCACGAUAAAUAUCAUAAAAACUAUUUUUUUUUUCAUUGACAAAAUAGACGGUGCUUUUAUAGACAAAAAAAAGGACUAUGUGUCCAAAAAAGACACGAACAAUUUUAUUUAAUUUAAAUCUUAGAAUUAUAACUAUGGUAGUAGCGAUUAAUUGUGCAUGUAAAAGAAAUCUGAAUAUUGAUCCUCUACCACCACAUGACGGUCAUGUACAAUCGGACUAUGUGUCCGAAAUUAUAAGUCGUUUUGAAAAAGAAAAAAAUUGUUUAAAAUUAUAUGUUUCUUAACAAGAUCAUUGCAGUUAUUUUUUAUAUUAUAUCAUUAACUAUUUAUUAUUAUAUCUUCUUUCAAUUUUUUCUAUAUUAUUUAUUAACGACAAUUUUGUAAAACAAUUUAUAAUAUUUCUUUCCCAUGCAAAAUUUAUUAUAUUUCUUAGUGAAAUAUCAAAAACGUCGUAUAAUUUAGGACAAAGGAAGUAAAACCAUUGAAGGUGUUUUAUAAAAGCGACAUGUACUAUUUAUUUUACUUACAAACAAUGUCUUUUUUUCUCUUUCCAAUACUAACUUUUUAAAAUAGUGCUGCCUUCUAAGACCAUUUACAAUGGCAUGUUGAAUUUGCCAUUCAACAUGUUGAACCCUUGUUGAACCAUUGUAGGGGGUGAUGAAAUGGGAAAAAAGUGAGUUGGAGGAGGGAAGUGUUGAAACAAUUCAACAUGUUGAAUGCCUGGCCCACGGAGACACUUGGCGCGCGCUGAUUGGCUGCUCGGAUUUUGAUCUUCUUAAUAAUUUGGACCCAAUUAUUUCAUUGCAAAUAAUUUUAUUUUAUAUUUUUUACCAAAAUUCGUAAUUUUUUCUCUCUCUAUAAAUAGAGACUUGGAUCAUUUGAUUUGGACACAGAAAAAAAAUCAAGUUUUUCACUCUCUUAAUCUUAUUAUUAGCUUUGUAUUAGCCUUUCUUUUGAAGUUUUAGUGUUUAUUUAGUUUGUUGUAUUGCAUUUUAUUUAUGUUAAGAAAAUAAAAAUAAAUUAUUUAAAUAAAUUUUGUUUUUACAAAAAAAAAAUUGUUAAGUGUUUCUUCAUUUUAAUUUAAUUAUAAUCGAUAAUUGUAAUUUUAUGUAAUUAUAAAAACAAAAAUAUAAAAUUAAAUAAGAAUAAGAAAUAAAAUAUGGUGGGGUAGGGUGUUGAAUGAAAAAACUAUUUGGAGAGAUAAAAAUUGAAUGGGUGUUGAAUUAAGAGAGAGAAAAUGAUGUGGAGUGUUGGGAAUUGAAAAAGUGGGUGUUGAAGGUUGUUGAAUAUAUUUUGCCAUUGUAAAUGGUCUAAGACCACCUCCAAUGGGUUAUUGAAAAUGACUUUCAAUAUGUUGAAACCAUUGGAGUGGGGGUAUUGAAAAUGGAAAAAUUCUGAGUUGGAGGAAAGAGGUGUUGAAUAGGUUCAACAUGUUGAAAGCCUGACCCGCAUGGACACGUGGCGUGUCGCGAGUUGUUGAAACAGGCGCGUGUGAUGCACGCGCCGAUAGAGCGCGUGGGAGAAGCAGACUGCGGAGAGAGAAAGACAAAUGGAUAAAGGCAGUGACACGUGGCUUGUUACGAUUGGCUGCUUGGAUUUUUAUCUUCUUAAUAAUUUGGACUCAAUUAUUUCAUAGCAAAUAAUUUUAUUUUUUUACCAAAAUUCGUGAUUUUUUUUUCUCUAUAAAUAGAGAGACUUGGAUCAUUUCAUUUGGACACAGAAAAAAAAAACCAAAAUUUUCACUCUCUUAAUCUUAUUAUUAGCAUUUCUUUUGAAGUUUUAGUCUUUGUUUAGUGAAAUGGAUCCCAAUAAUAAUCAAUUCAAUACCCAAAUAAUAAAAAUAAAUUAUUUUACAAAAUUUUGUUUUUCCAUAAAAAAACUAAAAAAUAAAUAGUUAAUUGUAUUAUUUUAAUUUAAUUAUAAUCGAUAAUUUUAGGUAAUUAUAAAAACAAAAAUAUAAAAUUAAAUAAGAAUAAGAAAUAAAAGGUGAUGAGGUAGGUGUUGAAUGAAAAAACCAUUGGAGAUGUAAAAAUUGAAUAAAUGUUGAAUUAUGAGAGAGAAAAUGAUGUGGAGUGUUGGGAAUUAAAAAAAUAAAUGUUGAAGGUUAUUGAAAAUUUGUAACCAUUGUACAUGAUCUAGAGAAGAAGAAAAGUAAAGAAAAAGUUGGGUCCAACAUUGCCUACGUCUGGAGUUUUCUACUUACCUAACUUUUGUAAAGAAUAUCAAAUGGUAAGUGGACGUACAAUCUUGCUUUGAUCGAGGCAUGGGACCGUGUUACAUCUGCAUGCAUUGCUUGCUGUGAAUGGGUAUAUAAUAUAUGACUGCUGGCAUACAUCCCUUAAACUCCCACAUAUAAAUGCAACAUGUGGUAAUGUGGGUCUAAAAUAACUACUUAUCCUUUGUUUCAUAUUACCAAAAUAACCUCUCACAUAAGUGUAUACAAGAGUGGUAUGAAAAAAAAGUAUCUAUCUAUAUUUUUCCAUACUAUAUAUCAUGCUUAAUUGGUAUUUUUUGGUGUCAAUAUACGGUUAGUUCAAGAUCGUGCCCACGCACGCAUAUACAAUGGUUAGUUAUAUUUUUUUUUGGAUAACAAGAGCGCCUAAGUCCGUAAGAGCAAAACCGUUUAACAAACCACAUAGUUGAAAAACCAACUAAAUCAGCUGAAAGAAAACUACUAAUUUGAGAAGCAUACACAAGGGAAAAUCAGCUUCACAACCCAAAUUCGCCAAGGCAUCCACGCAAAAAUAUUUAAUCUCCCAAUACGAAUGGCUACUUCCUCCAUACCAAUAUUACCUCCUUUGUAUACACCAUCUCUGUUAAGCCUAUCACACUGAUGAUCACACGAGGGCAACCAUAUAUAGAAACUCGUCUACUCUCCUAACAUCCUCGGCUGCAACAAUACAACCAGGAUUCAUGUCGCAAUUCUGCACUCUCCUUCAAACCCCCAUCCAUAGCUGACUCGACAUCACGAAGUCUCCAUCAUGCAUCGCCAAGUCCAGGGUGCAUGACAUGCCGUCGCCCAAAACUCCACACAGACACAUGGUAGACUUAGAGAGGGAGAUGAUAAGGUAGUAUUGCUAGUGAAAAGAUUUUCACGAUGUAUUUUUAUCUAAAUGUAAUUCGUAUGCUUUCUUCUGGGUGUUUAUGCACUUAUAUAUGUAAGAAUACUAGUAUGGCACUAUCAAAAAAUUUAAAAAUUUAGUAAAAAUUUGGAAUUAUAACUCAGUAUCUCAAAGUUUAUGACUCUCAUGUACACUACGCACCAAUCCAUUGUGCUAAACCAUAAUAUAAUUUUUAAAUUCUUAAGAGGUGCCUUAAAAGUCUUUUUAAUAAAAGUCCUUUGUAAGAAUUGAAUUAUAGCACUUUCUAGCCAAUCUUUGCAUCUUUUUUAUUUUAUGUUGCUGUUAGGAAUAUUCCCUGUCCUCUGUUUUUCUCCUGCUUCCCAAAUAAUUUCUCUUUAUAAUUUAUCACAAACCCUUUUUAAGUGAAAAUCGAGUAAAAUAUUAAAGAUCACAUUCUUACAUUCUAGAGAAAAGUGUAACAUACAUAGAAGUUAUACAAAUAGAGAAAUUGAAAAGUGACAUCUAAAAGUGAUAAGAAGAAAAAAAAGAAAAGAAACAAAAACCCUAACUUUACUUUCUUAUCAUGUCUCACAAUUUUGCUUGAGCCUCCCACAUGCAUACUCUUAAGGGGCCUGGAAAUGGCCACAACUAGGCCCUCUCAUCCAAAAAUAAUAUUCAUGUUCACAAAGACAUGACAUGAACGUUUUAUGAUUGGUAAUUGUGCCCAAGAUUCAUUAGGACAAGUCCAUCACACCCUAGCUAUUUGAUAGAAAUUGGCUUUUGUAUUAUGCAUAUGUGAGAGAACAAAACCAAUCAACAUAAAUGGGACAUCUUCAUUUGAAGCAAUAUUAAUAAUAAUAUUAUAGCCUCUUCCUCAUGAAGAAAACAUUAUAAUAGACAUGUCAUUUGAAUCGAUCCUAAUGAAGAAAAAACUAUCCUAAGUUCACUUGUGGCUAUAUAUUCUCACAAACAUCUUCCUCCAUACCCUGCACUUCUGAAUAAGGCUUGCUUAAUAUCUUCAGAACUUAGCAUUUCCCUUUUCUCCAAUUCCUGUUGCAUAACACACAAGAAACGCAAUUGAUUACCUAACUAAGAAAGACUAUGUAUACUAUCAUACGAUGAAUGAAAAAUCAGCACUAAAAUAAAGUAUCCAAAAAAAUUAAUAUUACUUCCUCGGCUCCUUUUUAACAGUCAAAUUAAAGUUGUUUACAUAUACAAAAAAAAAAAAAAAAUCAAUAAUUUCAUUACUUUUGAUAAAUUUAAUUGUCUUUUUCUAUAAUAUCCUUAAAAAAAUAGUAGGUAAUGUUACAUUGAACUUUAAAAACGACGAAGAAAUGAAAACACAUUUUUACUACAACUGCGACGUUUAAAAAGUAACUAAGGAAUUAGUAAGUAACUAAUGUACCUCUGAGCAAGAAGCCUGCAUUGUGAAAUCAUUGAAACAGCUAAUAACACAUUGUUGAAUCUCAAGGCCUAAUGCUUCCAAUGUGUUUACUGUGGAUAGCAACAACCCUGGCUUCCCUGCACAACAAAUUUCAACCCUUGUGUCCGCGCUCCUCUCCACCUCAAACUGCAAAGUAACAAAAAAAUUUAGAAAAUAAACAUAGAAAUAAAAAUAAUUGGAUCCUUCAACACAGAUUAAUUUCAAAAGGGUCGGUGAAAUUUUGUACCUUAGGAGAAUUUCUGAUUAAGAUUUCAUUUGGUUUGACAUCUUUGACAAUGCUUGUCAUAUUUGAAUCUAGUUCAAUUUCUUGUUGCAGAUUUUUUAUUUUCUCUAGAAGCUCUUUCAUGUAAUCAAUAGUAUCUCCAAGUAUAGCUGUUCUGUCCAUCUGUCACAUAUAUUUAUCGACCAUUCAACAAAACAAAUUAGAUCGGUAUAACAACUAAUAUACUAACAUUCACCUAUAAAAAAAAAUACAUAUAUGUACCUACCUUGCUUAUCUUAGGGACAAUUGCUCGUAGCAUCGAAAGACGGUCGUUUAAUCUCUUUCGUCUUCUCCUUUCAGCCAUUAGAUUCUUCGACGGUUGUCCUUGAAGUUUCUUCGAUCGGUUCUUUCUUUCCAUACCAUUACCAGUGUUGAAAACUACUGGCAUUUCAGGUGAUUGUAUUGGCUCCAUUUUACAUGUUGUUUGCAGCUCCAAAUUCUGAAGCUCAUCAUCAAGCAAACCUUGAUCUUCUUCUCCCAUCAUGGACAGUGAAAAGUCUUCUUGAGAAAUAAAUGGAGUGUCAAUACUAUUAUUAUAGUACGAAUCAAGAAUCUGUGGUGGUGUUGAAGAUUCAUCAAGUAAGGAACCAUAGAUUUCAUUGAAAGUGUUACUGUAGUGAUCAUUGUUGUUAUAGCUUUGAGGAACUUGUUGAGUACAAGAAGAGUUUGGUAGAUAUGGUAAAGAGUUUUGUUCAAAACAGUUAUCAAAACUCAAGUUACUUGUUGAUGAGAAGAAUUGAUUUUCUUCUUGACUUGGAUUGGUAAUUUCAUAUGUUUCUCUUCUUAGAGCCAUUAAUUCCUCCAUGAAAUCUCCAUCAUAGAACUCCAUCUAUGUGAGAGUGUGCACGUGUUUGUGUUGUGAAUGGUAAGAAACACCUUUUGAGAGUAUAUAAUACUAAGAUGAAGAAUUUAUAGGGGAAUACAGCUAGGUUAAUUUGUGGCAUAUUAAUUAUUAUAAUGCAAUAUAUUUUUUAUUUUUUAUGUAUAAUGUUGUAUUCAUUUCAUUGGUGUCUAUACUAUAUAUAGCCUAAGACAUAAAGGGAAUCUGCUUUAUAUUUCACAGUGGGGUUUAUGUCUUUUUCACCGAAAUCUCUGCAAUAAAAAACACAGACUAUAUAUAUAAUUGUCAUUUUGCUACAAAACUUUGACCCUCACAACUGUCUGGAAACAAAAAGGAUUAAUAUUACUUUUAUAAAAACCUGCCAGGUUCUUUGUAUGUUUAAAAUUCUGUAAUAUUAAUUCUUGUAAUCAAACUCUCUUUCUCUAAACCCUUGAACAAAAUUUCCCAUAUGGACCCUACUUCACAAUGCUUCCAAAGUUGGGCUUAGCUCACAAAAUUCAAACAAGUUGGUGAUCUUGUUUUGUUCUUUCUGGUCUACUACUCCUAUAUGUAUUAGUUAUGCAAAUUUAAGUGCUACCUUCAAUGGAUAUAAGAGUUUGAAAUGAGAUUCACACUCUAUUUUUAAGUUAUGUAAUGAUGAAAUUAAACUCAAUGUAAAAAUUCAAUAUGGUAUUUAUCUAUCCUUUAUAUUCAUAUACCAAGCUUAAUAGUGAUACGUCUCCAUAAAGCUGAUUUUGUAAAAAUAGUUAGACAAAUAUAUAAAUUUAAUAUAUAUGUUAUUGGAGUCUAUCUACUAGCUAGGUUAUCCACCGUUCUUAUCUAUGCACCAAACCCAAAUAGUAUGGAAUGUGAGGGUGUAAUGGAGAAAACAUAAGUUUUACAUGUUGUAAUUUUGUAAUAAUGAAUCGCACUCGAUAUAAAAAUGAACUUCUAUUUUUUGGAUCGCCAUCUCUCGAAGCACGAACACUCAUAGUUUCAUGCAUCACUCAAUGCAUGACAUUGAUUUGAAAUCAGAUGGUCAAUAUCACACAAUGAAUUGCAUUCAUUCAUGGAUCUAAAUUGAACGACUGAGAGCUGUAAUUUUGUGACACUUACAGCUGGGGAAUCCGAUUCCGUAAUUUGUGUUAUUCAUUUUUCUAGUUCUACUAGGGGUGAAGCCGUGAAGCUAUAAGUGUGGAACCUCUAUUACCUCUCCACCUGGCUAGAGUAAGACAUAUAUAAUAAUAUGUAAUAUUAUAUAUUUAUGUAUACGAAUAAAGUAACAGUGUAAUACAACCUUAGUACCUUAGUAUAUAUCUUAUAGAUCAUCCAAAUUUGGCGUAUGCAUUUGGUCUGUUCUAUUGUAGGAAUAAGCAACAUCAUAGACAUUUCCUAGCUUGUCCUUUUGGUUUCUCUUUAACUAAUAAUGUCCUUUUAGGGGUUCAUUAGUCUUUUUUUCCAAUUUAGGCUAUACUCUUAUGAUUAGUUUCUUAACCGUAUUCUUGAUCCUGAUCCUAAUUAAUCAAGCUAAAUGACAAUUGAAGUAGUGGUAUUGUUCUUAUUAUCGCCGUUGUAAUUUUAAGCGGUUUUUCUUGGUAGUUAAACACUUAAACCUCUAGCUAGAAACAUGCACAUGAUCCUCAAGCAGAUUGCAUAUGAUCUCAGGAAGAGUUAUAUGUCACGCAGUAAUUUCUAGUUUUAUAAGCUAGUAAUAAAUUAGGAUGUGAGUACUGAUUACUAUUCAUGUAAAUAUACCUCGUGAUAGGUUGUUUGGUUCUGCGGUAACAACUACUCCAUAUAUGUUGAAUAAAUUAGCUAGUAGUGUGUAGCUUUAUUGCUAGCUUUAUUUUGAAUAAAUUGAUUUUGUUAAAUUGAUAUCGAUUAAAAGUGAGAUGAAUAUGUCCACAAAUCUUAACUAAAUUGACAAAAACGUUAAAAUUGUUAUGUCAAAUGCUUUGAUCGGGGUUCAAAUUCCAAUUCCUCCACUUAUGAGUGUGCGUUUUCAAUGGUAGGCAUUUUGUUUAGCUAUCAAAAAAAAGUGAAAUCAAUAUAAAUUGAUUAAUUUGUGUUCGGACUCUUGAUGUUUAUGUAAAAUUACGUCAAACAAUUUUUCUUUAUGGAGGUCGAACAAAAUCAUACGAUUAUGCCAAAAUCAAUUAUAGACAUUCAAAAUCAAUUUUUUCUCUUAAAAUGAGGAGAUGCCAUUUCCAUAGAAGAUGUUUUAGGCAAAUGAGGAGAGGUUAUUUGCAUUGUAGUAUAUGUGUAUGUUUGGUUCUAAAAUUUUAAGAGACAAUUUAAGAGACAAAAUUGAUUUCGGAUGUCUAUAAUUGAUUUUUGCAUGAUAGUAUGGUUUUUAGAACCAAACAUACGUGCAUACUACAAUUCAAAUAACCUCUCCUCAUGCGCCUAAAACAUCUACUAUGUUUACAACUUCAAUAAUGUGUAGGAGGGAAAUACAUCCUGAAAUGUCAACGGAAAAAAUGAGCUAAUUUUUUAAAGGUGCUGCUAACCGGUGCUUCUGGGGCACCGAUUAAGGAGCAAUAAAUAAUUGGAUUCCUUCAAUUAAAGUUAAAAAUAAGUCAAUUAAUGAGAAUAAUUUGAAAUAGUUGUAUUUAAUACUCGUAAAAUUUCUUUUCCUUUACACGGUUAUACUACACACUCAAUUUUAGUAAUUGUUCCAUUAUAUCCCUGAUAUCCUUCCUUCAUUUCUUAACAAAAAUUUGUUUUCCUGUAAAUUUUAAACAAGCCAAUUUUUUUUCCGUGAAUUUUUUUAAUCAUUUUUUCUUUGAAAACAAUUCAUGGAAAGCCUAUACACACGUAUGCAUACCAAUAUAAAGGAAAGAGAAAAUUCAAACCUUAUUCAAACACAAAAUAUAUAUACAUAUAGGAAAGACCGUACAAAAAAAAAAAGGAGUUGUAGAAAAUUGGUGGUAGAGAAAUUUUACUUUAUGAAAUUGAGAAGUAAGAUUAAAUGGCUGUACCUUUUUAAAGAGCAUUGAAUACAACUUUCUUUUUAAUUUAAUUAGUUGAUUUAUUUUUCGUUUUAAUUGAGGUAAAAUAAUAAAUGGGAUAUGUUAAUUUAAUGCUCCUUUAGCAUUACCUAUUUUUUAAUUAUGAUCAUCAUGUGAAGAAUUUAAGACACAUGGACAAGCUAAGUUAUAAUCUACAUGUAGUAACAACUAAUUUUAGCUAUGACUAUGAUAAUGGUAGCCUUGUGGUAGACGAUUGCUUGUCAACCAUAUUCAUAUAAAAUAAUACUGCGUGAAAACCCCCACACGUUUUUCUUUUCAAAAUUUGCACAUACAAAACUAAGUGGCCAAGUCCAAAAUAAUUCAUGGAUAUGAAUGCUCACAUUGUGUGGCAGUCAUUUAUUAGGCCAAUUGUAUUUACUCUUUGCAAUUCUCUUGAAUCAGGAUAGAUUUUUGUCAAUCAGUUUAGAAUAGGCAUUAUAUAUACUCUUUUUUUUGUGCAAUAACUAAUUCAAUAAUAAAGACUAAUUGAGGUUAGAUUUUUAAUUAUACACAGCGUGAGUGGUAUAUGACUAAAAUUAUAGGCAUGAAUUAAGGUGCACCACUUAAAACUUUGACAUCAUGGUUGUUUUUGUUGACGGUCGGGUCAACUUAGCCCUUGUGCCACCUCACCUAGCUCUUGGAAGUCUUAGUUAUCAUGUGUUGUUGCCGCACCGUAGUUCAACCCACAUUUUCCUAAACGAUAUCACCCAUAAAACCUACACUCACUAUGACCGCCAUCCUUCGGCCCACGCCAAUCUAAAUUAACCCUAGAGUUAAUCCAAUAAACUUGUAUUUUUUGUAAGUAAUCCAAUCAACUUGUUUUUUCUUUGUAAUUCACACUUUUUAUCGUGUAAUUUUUGAGUGAUUUUAAUGGCAUGUUCCAACCUUAAUUAUAAACCACUUCUAAAAAUAUUGUUCCUAUUUACAAGUUAUUAGAUAAUUUUAUUAUUAUUUAUUAUUAUUAUUAUUAUUCUAAAUAUAUUAUCAUUAAGCUAUUAGCUUGUCUUGCGAUAAAAAAAACAAUGAUAAACACAUUUAUAUGCUAAUGAUAAUAUAAAAAGAAUUUUAUUUGUAUACUCUUUUAGGGUAUAAUUAAUUUACGCAUACAUCUAAUUAUAUGUUGUUAGUCAACUAAUAAAUUUAUUAAUUGAUGUGACAACACAUUAUUAAAUUCAGAUGUAAAAUAAUUACUCUAACAUAUCAUAGCAGUUAAAUUUAUUUAAUAAUAGUUAUACACAAUAUAAAUUUUUAUGUGAAAAAUGUUAGUUUAUACUACAUAGAAAUAGAGUUAUAGUAAACAUUGUACAAAAAAACAAAAAAAAACAAAAAAAGAGUUAUAGUAGAACAACAUUUGUUUCAUCAUAGAAAAUGAUUGGUUAGAAUAAUAAGUUUAUGACAUUAAAAAAGAUUUUGCUUAGUAAAUUCACCAAUGAGCGACAAUUUCAAGCUAGAAUUCCACAAUCAUCAAGUUUGAAAUUUAGAAGACACGUCCCCUGAGGCCAUGACUUCUCUGUCUCUACAAAUAUCUCUCGGCAGCCAUGCUUUGCACCAAAUGAUUAUAAAGGUGGAAUCCAAUCAUUAUCUUCACGAAAAGUUUGUGUAAUAAAAAGCUUAAGAGUAGGUUUAGCCCACUAACUUUUUCAAAAUUGUGAUUUUGUCCCCUGAGAAAAAAACUAUAAAAUUGCCCUCUAAUUUUUGCAUAUGUGGCAGUUUUUUGGCCCCUAAAAUUAAUUUUGACUCGGUCUACGCUGACGUGACACCCUAAGUGAGGUGUCACGUGUUAUUUAUUUUUUUUUUACCAAAAAUUGGUUUUGAGGUCAAAACUGCUAUAGUUGCAAAACUUACAGGGCAGUUUUGUAGUUUUUUUCUUAGGGACCAAAAUUGCAACUUCGUGGAAGUUAGGAGGCGAAAACUACUAUAAAGCCAAAAAAAAAUUAGGGUCAAGUAUUAUUUAAACAUUUUAAAUUAAAAAAAUAUUUUUUAAAAAAUAAAAUAUUUCAUUUUUCAUCGCACCAAAUAAACAAAUUUUCAUAUAACACUUUACUAUUUAAAAUCUUCAAAGAGUGUGUCGGAAGCACUCGUUAGCAAUUUCUUAAAAAUAUUAAAAGUAUUGGAGUAUACUCUCUCUUUUACAAAAUAAGGUACUUUGUUGACUGUUGCACACAUAUUAAUGCACGUCUUAGACGUUUAAUAUCUUUAAUUAUGUAUAAGAAAACAAUUAUAAAAUUUGAUAAUUUGAAAAUAUUCAUUAGACAAAUUAAUCCAACAUCUUUUGUUUUUUAAGAUAAUUCAACAUCUUAUUUACUACCAUUUAUCUUUAUAUAAUAAUAAUUAAAAAAAUAGAUUAAAGUAUUUUAUACAUAUAGUGUACAUAGUCAAACAAUAUCACAUGUCUUGGGACCGAGGAAGUCUAUAUCCGUUUCACAAUACUUGUCGCUUUUGGGAAAUAAUUUUGUUUAAUAAUCAUAUUACUUGUCACUUUCAAGUUUCGAUGCAACAUUAAUUAUUGUCUUGUCAAUAAUAACAUUACCUAUUUAUUGUAGAGAGAUAAAUAAUAGAAUAAAAUAAUAAAUAGUUAAGUGUAUUAUAGAAAAACGACAUAUACUAUUCACUCCCCAAAUAAUCCAAGUUACACACCAAAAUUACUAAUAUACCCUUUAAUUAAAAUAAAAACUUCAAUUUAAUUCAAAACCCACAAAACACAAUUCACCUAUUCUCUCAAACCUAGAAAGAAGCACGCACACGCCUGGACGCCUUCAUCUUCUUCCUUCCGCUCAGGUAUCAUCUUCAAGAACAACCAAUCGCUCGUGUGUCUUCUUCAUUAAGGUUUGUAAGUUUUCAAUUCUCCAUUAGGGUUUGUAGUUGGACUGUGUUGAUUCUACGUAUACGUAAAUUCAAUUUACAUGAGUUAAGUAAACUAAGUUUACGUGUUCACCCACAUCGUAAACUGAGUUUACUAAGUUUAUGUAAACUCAAUUUACAUAAGGUAAGUAAACUAACGAAAAUUCAUUUUACGCAGUUUAUGUAAACUGAGUUUACAUACACUAUAUAAACUUAGUUUACAUAAGUUUAGUAAACUAACGUAAAUUCAAUUUAAAUUGAAUUUACUUAGUUAAUGUAAACUGAGUUUACGUGUACAUGUAUAACUUAAAUUACUCCAUAUAAUCUUAAAUUACAUUGACCUUUUUAGAAUAUGUACGUAAAUUUAAAUCCACUUGUGACCAAUGUAACAAUGUCCUUUAACCAAAGGACAUUAUUAUCAUUAUUACGACUUCUAUCAUAUAUACGUAGUUUUCUCAAGUAUUGGCACAAAGAAUGUAAUUUAUUAUUCAUCCGUAACUAUCAAAAGAUCAUGUGGAACAUACAGAUUCCAGUACGUAUAUAUAGAAUUAGAGUAGAUGUCCAACUUGGAAGAGAAAGUGACAAAACUUAAGCAGCCACGUACAAGGAGCAGAAAGGACAAAACUUAUAAUGAAUACGUAGGUGGUGGUGGAGAAAACCGCGGCAGUUUUCCUCCUACCUCCCCGACACAAAGUGGUAUUCUUGAUUACCAGUUUUUUCCAUAGUUUUAUUAGAUUCAGCUUAAUGUGACAGCCCACAAUAUCUUAUUUGUGAUUCUGGACAUUGCACCAAAACCACCUAUGUAUAAUGUAUUUACAUCUCCAACUCUUGUCUUCUUGCGCUCUUAAACAGUGUGGAUUGGGGUCCAAAAAGCCACGAGCCAUAUACCUAAAGUUAACAUUAAAUACCGUGCAGUAAAGUAAACAACCUUUUUCUCCACAAGAUCGGUCCUUCUCUAGCCUUCUUGUUACAAGAAUACAAGUGGUGGCACUAGUAAUUAAGAGCCUUUGAGGGACUCAAUUGAUAAAAUUAGAAAAAUGUCAUUUCAACACAACUUUUGACAUAAAAAACAUUAAUCACAUAUUUUUUUUAUAAGAAUAUUGGGUAAUUCAAGUGAUUUGAGCUAGAUGAAUAGGAGUUGGAGGUCAUGAAUUCAAAUUCAUGCGAAGAAAAAAAUAUUAAUUUAACAAACUAACUACUAAUAUUUAUCAUUACAAAAACCAAUUAUUUUAUAUUGAUUUAUGUAUUUAUGUAAUUUUAUAACUAUGUAAAAAUAAGCGGUUAAUGAAUGACUUGCAUUUUCUUUAUUAAAGAAAGUAAUCGAAAUGAUUAAUGAGAUGUAUGUAAAAAAAGAAGUUAAUAACACACUAUUAACAUUUAUCAUUUAAAAAAACAAUUAUUUUACAUCGAUUUAUUUAUUUAUGCAACUUUAUAAUUAUAUAAAAAUAAGUGGCAUCAUCAGAAGACAAGCCAACAACGUAGCUCACUUACUAGCUCGAGCGGCAUUAUCAUAUCCUAGUCGUUAAGUAUUUGAUUAUAUUUUAUCCUGUAUUAUAACUACUUUGUAGUGUUGUUCCCCCUGGGAAUCGAACCCGAUAUUCCUGGAGUACGUCCUUGGAAGGAGUUCCUUGCCACUGAAGUUCAAACAACUUGGUUGUAUUAUAACUACUUUGAUGAAUAAAAUGGGUUAAUUUUGUGACUGUGAAAAAAAAAAUUCCAUAUAUUAUCAAGGAAAAUGACCAAUGAACUUUCUCUUUCGUGAUUCAUUCUAAAUAAUCAAUUAAUAUUUUCUGAUUGCAUAUGUGUUAAGACAAUUAGUUAUGUUCGACAUAUUGUACCUGUUAGUUAGAGUUUUCACAUGAGCGAUUCUGGAAAUGUCUGCAAAUAAGAAAAAUACAGAAUAGAUUAAAAUGUAAGUAUCGACCUUCUUUGUUAAUUAUGCUCCAGGAGUUUAUAGUCACAUAAAGAAUAAAAGAAAAAUAAAUCCCAAGAGUGACUUCCUUUGAAAGAAAAAAAAAAAAACCAAGAGCCUCUAAAUAACAUGGUUCGGCUGUCUUUCCACUUUAGAGUUAUUGAGUUCAAAUCUAAAUGAAAAUGGAGCAACGUUAAAAUUUGAGAGUUGAUUUUAAAAUCCCAUUGUGCUAUCACUUGGCUAGAGGGAUAAGCUCUACAAUUAUGUGUAGAAAAUAUUUGAUUUACAUCAAAACAGAAAAAUUAAAUGGUUGAAAAACUCUUCUUUAAAAGGUUAUAAUUCUAAACUCAAACGUGAUGCAUGCCUUUUUUUUUUUUUUACAAGUGUAAAAUUUUAUUUUUUAUUAUUAUGAAUUGGAUAUUCUUUGCGUGUAAUUGGAAAAACCAAUCAUUCAAACUGUGUAGAACUACAAUAGAUGAGAACAAAACUUUUUUUUGAGAGAUUUAACAGAGCUACAUUUCUAUAAUUGGAUUCAAACUCGGACAAUUGCAACAUUUUCAUUGAAUCUUUAUUUACUUGCGGUCGGUGAGUACAAUAUCGAUAACUAGGGUUAAUAUUUGUUUAGGUCAUGCCUUGAGAAUGAUCUCAAGGUGAGUAUUUAUAGCCAUUUUGAGCUUAUAAUUAUGUGACUUAGGCCCUAAGUCACGUUUUAUAUAUUGACCACAUGCUCUAGAUGUUUCUAGAAGCCGAUAAUGACAGUGGUGAGUUUUCAGCAAUGGAUCGAAAUAGACAAUUAACUGAUAAUCGGUGCUUAUCUCACAGUGAAACAAACGGUUUUGGACAUAAUUCAAAGAUGUUUACUUUUUUUUAGUUAGGACCACAUACCAUACCUGAGCAAUUGAAAAUGGUUUAAAAUAUAAAAUUAAUAACUACUCAGAUUUAGAUUGAAUCCGAUGUAAAUGUAAAUGAGAUGAAAGGAACGAACAAAGCAGAAAUAAUCGUUGAAUUAUGGUGAGUGAGUCGAGUCAUAUGAUAACGUGGCAUAUUUGAAUCGUAGGAUAAGCAAUCCAAAGAGAGAGACGCAGUCCGUCUGGGGUUCUGUUAUAUUCUUAUUGGCAUUAUUUAUUAAACUGACGCACUCAGACAGACCAUGCCAACAACUACUCUUGUAAGUGUAAAACCACCACCACCACAUUCCCCUAUUUUAUUAAAGAAGAAUUCCAAUUUUAUCCCCGCCCGCGUAUCUCAACGUUCUCCACAUUCAUUCCGCGUCUCUUCUCUCUCUCUCUCUCUCUCAGGUACGAAUACGAUCCUCUUUCUCUCCUAUUCAUUCACCUUUUCAUACUUUCGUUUUCUCCCUUCCUUUCUUAAUUAGAUCAAGUCUUAGUUAUUUUCAGCGUCUUCUUUUAUUUUUAUUAACUUCAAUUAAUCCUAUUAUGUACUCAUCAUUGGGGUUAUCUUUCAAGGCUUUUAAGUGUGUUGUCACAAUCGAUUGCUUGUUUGUUUAUUUUUACAUGUAUUAUGGAAUAUUAAUUUUAUCAAGUGUAUUAAUUAGAAGAUGCAAUUGAUUAAAAAUUGAAAAUUGGAGAAUGUGUCCCUCAUUGCUUUUACACAGUCUACUACACUAUAUAUAUACAUACUGGUUCCUUGAUGAACUUUUUAUGUCAUUGCAGAUAUGGAUACUUCCUCUGGUCAAAGCAUCCUUUACCCAUUGCAUCGUUGUAAAACUCUUCACCUGGUUUGUGCCCAACUUUACCUUUGUGCAUUGUAGUAUGUUAUGUUUUAGUUAUUGUGGACUUAUCCAAACUUGUAUGCAGGUUAGACAUGCCCAAGGGUUUCACAAUGUUGAAGGAGACAAGAACCCUGAUGCGUACUUAUCUUAUGAUCUUUUUGAUGCAAGUCUCACCCCUCUCGGCUGGAAGCAGGUAAUUUCCAUAUUAUGUACACUCUCACAGUAAACCAGACAAAUGCUUCAAACAUUCUCCAGAGAUUGGUAUCAAUGUUAUGCCUUAGUAUAUCACUAUAUCUGCAGUUUGUGUCUCAUAAGAAAAUUUUGUCUUAGUGAUCAUCUUAUUCUAGUAUAACUCUUUCUCUAGCUGGUUCAUUCUCUCAAUAUUCCAGGUUAAUUUUUAAUGGUGGAAUAUUUGUUGCUCUAUAUGACAGGUCGAUAAUCUGAGACAGCAUGUUAAGGCAAGCGGUCUUUCCAAAAGAAUUGAACUAGUUAUUGUUUCCCCCUUGUUGAGGUAUAACUUUAUUGUUAUUUGGAAUCAUCCUAAUUUUGUUACUAAUUUACUGUCUCAUUUUGUCAAAGAUUUGUUACUUAUUUAUUGGUAUCGUGAAUUUAAAGAGGGGAGUGAGGGAAACAUUGAGAAAUAUUGUUAGAGUUUCUCUCUAGUUAGGAGCUUUGCUCUCGAAUAGGAGUCUUUGAUUCUGGUUCAUCAUUUCCUUUUCUGUUUUGCCACCAUUGUAGAGAUCUUAAGCUCGUCGUUUUACCAUUCAAUAAUAUAUAGUUGUUUCUUGACUUUACGGGUUUUAUCAGUAUCUUCUAGAAGUCGUGCUUGCAUGACUUGGGUCUUGGUGUCCUGUCAAAGUCCUUUACAAAUCAGGAAUAAUCGUGAGAUAAGAUUGCAGAAUCGAACUUAAAUGGCCAUAUAUGAAAUGAAACAACAAAUAUUAGAUGCUUUUAAAAUGUAUAACGUUUUACCAAUUGUCCUAGGAUGAAUGAAACUCUAAAGCUUCUACCAAUAUCUAGUUUAUGACUCUUCAUAACUAAAAUCUAACAGCACAAAUAUUCAGAGUGGUUGGGCCCAUACAGUUUUAUGUCUCACGUUACUCUUCGGAUUAUAUAUUGUGUUUGCAAGUUUAUUAUAUACAUGUAUACUGUUGCUAUAAUAUAUGUCUAACAUACACUAUUAUAAUGUCCCUCAAAUAUGAUUGAGCUUAUAAAGAGUGGUUGGGCCAAUACAGUUUUAUGUUUAAUAUGUGGUUAUUUAUAAAUGUAGUCUUGUAGGAUUACACUCAUAUUUUCACAAUUUUUUUUUAUUUUUUUUGCAAAUCAGCGAAUAAACAAGUGUUCCUCUAGAUUAUUUUUUUCCGGUGGUGGGGUCUAUUCAAAUUGCUAAAUAUUUCAUUGCAGGACCAUGCAAACAGCAGUUGGAGUCUUUGGUGGUGAGGCACACACUGAUGGAGUUGAUGCCCCUCCUCUGAUGAAUGAGAAUGUGGUUAAUAGCAGUCGUCAUGCAAUUUCUAGUCUGAAUUCGCCACCAUUUGUAGCAGUAGAGCUUUGCCGCGAGCAUUUGGUAUGUGGUGAUGAAAAUUUUAUUGCUUUGCAGUUUGGAAUCUGGGCUGCUGAAUCUAGUGAUUACUUCAAUCAUCUAUUUGCUUUCUUCCUCCCUUUAUAAAUGCUUUAAAGAGGGCACAACAUCAGUACUUGCAAAAUGUGCUAGAUGAAAUGCUUAAAUUACAUGUAGGCCGUCUACCUUACCAUCUUUAAGCCUUCUUUGUUAAUUAAUUAGGAAACUUAUUUCAUAUCAUGUUGAUCACUUACUGUGUUUGUUUCCUGGGAGCUGCUGUAAGAUUAUACUUCCUAGUCCCUUAAUUUUACUCCUUAAUCCAAUUCACUUUGCUUUAUUUUAUCUUUAACUGAGUAUCCAAAUUCAUGUACAAUAGUUUGAAGGCUGUUGAUUCAUUGUGGGAUGAGGACAUGAAGUGUGUGUUGGGCUGUGUUGAGAUCCCACAUUAACUAGAAAUAUGGUAAAAGUAGUCCUUAUAAAACUCAGGCAAUUCUCACCACUUGAGUUAGAUUUUGGAUUUGAGUUUGGGAAUUCUACUUUAAUCCAAGGAUUUUCCAGAUAUUCUCAAUCGGUUGAUAUCAUGUAGCUAGUGACUAGAGUAUUAGAUUAGGUUAUGAUUAGCAGAGAGAAGUUUCAAAAUUAACGUAUAUUAUCUUUUACCUCCUUUCUUGCUUAUUUUAUAAAAAGUAAUUGGUAUUGUAUUAAUUUAAGUUAGUUUGAGUAUUUUUAUGGUGUUGCAUAUUUCAGGGGGUGCAUCCUUGUGAUAAGAGAAGAGGCAUCAGUGAGUACCAAAAUAUGUUUCCGGCAAUUGAUUUUUCACUAGUAAGUGAAAAAAGUGGAUAUUUUGAUUUGCUAAAAAAGUAGAUAUAUACUAUAAUUUUGUUCUGAUGCAUUUGUUGGUAAGGUAUGAAUGGUAUUUGGUUAGAUUUGAUUCAUGCUUCUUAUGAAUUAUGUUUAGAUAGAGCGCGAUGAGGACAUUUUGUGGAAACCCGAUAUUAGAGAGAAGAAUGAAGAAGUUGCUGCCAGGGGACUGAAAUUUUUGGAAUGGUGAGUGAUUAAAUAACUCAACUUUCAUAUUAGUGACUAUGCAUGCAUAUUUAACAAGAGUCUUAUUGAAAAAGUAGGGAGAGCAAAAUGUUUAAGCAUACAGAAAAAAAUUCACAUUAUUAUGGUUGAGGUUUAGGAUGGCCUUUUUCUUAGGGUAAUUUAGGGCAAUAAGUGCCCUAAGGACAUUAGUUAAGAGGUAAUAAAAGGAAACUUUGUUUUGAAAAUAUAAUUUUUUUUUGCAACUUAAACAAUUGAAAAUUUAAUGAUAGCACAUUUUCCAUAAAAAUUUACCUCAUGUUUCCUUAAACAAUGCCCUAGGGCACUUAUUAACAUUGUCCUUUUUUUAUUGGUCGGAAAGGUUUAUUUUUUACUAUGUUGCUCUUAUACGGAGUAUUUUGGAUAGGAAUAUGGUAUAUGAUAAAGCGUCAUGACUUCGUUUGACCCAUGUUGCUAACCCUGCUUAAUGGGAUAAGGUUUGGUCGUUAUUGUUGGUCUUAUAUUAUACUAAUAUUGUCAAGACAUUCAGAUUAUGCGCAUAUGGUUGUACAACAAUUGAAUCAAAUAGUUGUAUUAGGCCAUAAUGGUCAUGUGUUCUAUUCAUAUCUCUGUAUUGGUCCAGGUUAUGGACACGCAAAGAAAAGGAGAUUGCUGUUGUUAGCCACAGUGGUUUUCUAUUCCAUACUCUAAGUGCUUUCGGAAAUGAUUGUCAUGCAAAUGUGAAGAGUGAAAUCUGCACACAGUAAGUAUUCAUCUAAAUUAAUGUCUCGUCUUUUUUAUGAAUUAUCACAUUCAAAUUUCGGAGUAAAUGACACAUAAUUAAUAAUAAGGCGGUUUUUUGUUUUGGAAAGGUAAAUUUGCUAAUGAACACUAAAGGACCGAUUGAAAUCCUUUGAGUAAAAAACUGGAAAAAUAAGAGUUUGAUUUUAAUUUUGUUGUUGGUAUUACAUUGUCAUUCUUUUUGUCAAUGAGUUUUACAUUGUCAUUCUUUUUGUCAAUGAGUUUUUACAUUGUCAUUCUUCUUGUCAGCAAGUUUUACAUUGUCAAGCCUUUCUUGUAUUGGACUUUUGAAGAGUUAAAUUUUGCCCUUCUAUUUUCACAGCUUUGCUAAUUGUGAGCUGCGUUCCGUGGUCAUCAUUGAUAGGGGGUGAGCAUCCAUCCUAUUUACAGAAUAACUUAUACUCAGUACUCAAACUUCUGCACAAAAUUCAGUUGUGUAUUCAUUUUUACAGGACGAUUGGAUCAGAUGAGUCCUCUACCAACUUUCCUGGCAAAAUUCCACAGGGCCUUGACCUUCCCAGUGAUGUUGCUGACGAGAAACUUUCUGGGAGUGGGCCAUCAAAGUAACAUGAUGAUGAGCUUUUCUCCUGUCAACAUUUCAAGAUGAUGAUGACAACGAUUGCUCCAAUUUAACAUUCAUCAAUGGCCAUUGAUUUUUACAUGUAAACAUUAAACACAUUUAUUUACUUUCUCAUGAUACAUUUUAACCUCUGGCACCUUCUUUCACCCUAAAAAGAAGGGAAGUAAAUAUCUGUGAAAGUAUUGGUGGUAGCCAAAAAGGCAAUCAAAGUCGGAGCCAUGGUAUAAGUAGUUUUAAAAUUGUUAAUUAUUAUUAAUAAUCCGAAUCUUAUUUGAGUGCGAAUCACCAUUUGAAAUUUUAGUGACCAGUAAAUAUAGGAUGCUCAAUUUGCGAAAAAGUUAUGUAUUUUUUCAAAUUAAAAAAAAAUAAAAAAAUGUCAGUCAAUUUAUUUUUUUCUCUUUUUUUUUUUUUUUUUUUUUGAGGGUUUUUUCUCUUUAAAUUUAGCAUUGCAGGUUUAAAGCUUUUAUGUUUAUCUUUAUUAUUUCCCAAAAUAUUUAUCUUUAUUUUAAAGUUUUGUUUGGCUUGAUGAUUGCAGAGAAUUAAGUAAUCAUUCAAUUUAGUCCCUAAACUAUCAUUCUCUCAACAAAUUAGUCCCUAAACUAUUAAAAUCAACUAUACUUCCACCCAUCAAUUUAGUCCCUCAGUUGGGACCAAAUUAAUGGAUAAGAGUAUAGUUUAAGGAUCUUUUAAUUGAAUUGAAUAGUUUCGAGACCAAAUGAAAAAUAAAAUGAUAGUUUAUAUAUUAUUUAAUUGAAUUGAUCUUUUAAUGGAGGAUUGAAGUGCCGGAGCUCUCCGCAAACAAAGAAAUGUGUCAACGUAGAGCCAAUACCAGCUAACUGAAAGAGAUACAAAGUGUAGAUCCAGAGCUUCUCAAGAAAAUUCAGUGACAUUAUCACUUGAGAUUUAUAUCGUUCUGUUUUUUAAUGUCUGAUAUUUAUACUGUUAAUACUGAAAAAGAAUAAGUCAAUUUUUUAAUGUUUAGAUACAAAAAAAUAAAUUUUCUAAUUGAAUCAGUGGAUCGUUUUUUCAGUCAUUCAUUGAAUGAUAAAUCACUACAAGUGACGGAGAUACACGAUUUAAAUAACGGAAAAUUCAGUAUUUUAAAAUUGUAUCUAAAAUGACUGGAAAAGUGGAAACAAGAUCAGAUAUAAUUUGAUCAUUCUGAGUAAAUCCUGAUUUUAUAGACAAACCCAAUCAUUAGUUCCCAACCAUGAGUUGAAUGGAAUCCUAUACAUAAAUCAGUUAAUAAAAGGAUUGAAAAAGCUUUUAUUGUAUAACUUAUAGAAAUUCUUUAACCCAAGAGUCAAGAAUAAUGAGUUCUUGAUUACCCCUAAUAGAAUAACCACUUAGAAUAAGGAAACAUAUUAUAUUUGUACAGAAAUGCAAAAUCGUAUGGAUACGGUCUUGGUUGUUCGUCUCGAUCAAUUGGAUGGUUUCUUUGUAGAUUUCCAUACGAAGAUUUUGAAAAUGUGUUUCUGGAUAUUCCUUUAGCAUUUCAUCCAAGAGGAACAGUUCCUCGAACUCUAUCAAUUUCUUUAAAAUCGUUUUUUCUUGAAUAAUAUUCAAGAAAAUUUCGGAUUGUUUCGUAUUCCACCAAUUAGUAAUCCAAGAUUCCAGACUUUUCUUAAAUGUAAAAGAGAUUACUAUAAAAGUAAUUGAAAUAAAAUUGCGCAAAAUUCACAAGUAUGUUGAUUUGUUACUGCAUACGAAUAACAUCGAAAAUCGAUUGGGUCUAGUCUUCCUCAUUCCUUCAUAUAUUAUUUUCCAUACCUGCCGCUCUAAAGUUUCGAAGUGCGAUAGUUGUCAAAGCCUGCCAUUUUGGAAACUAUGAAAACGUGUAUUCAUGUUUGAGAAAUGAGAGAAUGUACGGAGGAGAGAUAAACCCCUCAACCCUUACGGGCAAAUAACACAAAACCAACUAAGACGGAUAGUAGAAGGAUGAGACCAGCAGCUACAACACUAAUGUAACCUGGCUUCAUGAGUUUAUCACUAGAACUCUCUCCUCUGCCAUCAAGUUUCAUCUUGUCUUCUCUGAGGUGAAUUUCUGAAUAGGAGGGCACUGCUACAUCCCAAAAAGAUUUAGUUCUGAAAGAUAUGACUUCUUUUUCUGGCUCCAAAAUUGUAGAGAUAUCAGUUGGAGCUUUCAUGGAUAACAACUCCAUACAGUGAUCUUUUAAAACCUAAGAACAAAUCACAAGUAAUUGACCUUAAAACCAGAUCAGAUAUGCAAACAAAAUUCACACACAAAUAGAAACCAAACCUCAACAGUCUCAGAAGGCUGCAAGUAAUCACACGCAUACGUCCCUGCUAACCACGGUGCGAAAACUCUUCUAGGAAAAGGAAGGCUGCAUUCUUUUCUGUCAAAAAAUAACCAUGGAUUUAUUAUUUAAUCAAAUGUAUAACAAAAUGUAUCCAUUAUCAUUUAUGGAUUGAAUUAUCACUUCUAGAUGUUGCACACACAGAUUUACUCUUAAAAAACACUUCACGGGAGAUGCUAGUUGAUGAUCCCACUGAGAAAGGAGAAACCAUUGCACCCUAUUAAGUUUAAGCACGUCAAAAAAACAUUGUCUCCUCUGUAGACUAUCCUUCCUCUCUCCAUAUUAGUAAGUGGAACUACUUUCUAACCAUAAAAGAGAGAGAGUAGGCCAUUUGUUGUAAACAUUAUAGCAAUCAAAUCAACCGAACUUUGUCACCAUGCUAACAAAACGAGUGGAAAUCUAGGAAGAUGCUAUGAAGCUGAUUGGAUCUAAUUAUUUGGCAUACAAAAAUGUGUUACUAGGGUUCAUUCGUUGAAGAAUAGUCAUAGCAAAAUAAAUGAUGAAAUCACCCAGAUUCUAUUUUACACCAGGGCAUCAGCAUUGUAACAAGGUGGCAAAAAUAAAAUGUGACAAGGGAUCAUGUUAAGUUUAAGCAGGUACAUCAAUAAUUCAAGUGAUUGCUGCAUAGAUCCCACUGCCAUAUUGCACUAGCUUAAACAGAUAAUUCAAGUGAACAAUAAUUCAAGUCACUAAACGCAAUAGCCAUAGAAGGCAAGGAAACAUAUAGCUGCACCAUCUAGUAGUUGAUGAUAAAAUCUUAGAAGGUGAGGAAACAUGUAAUUGCAUUACAUCAGGACUCAGGAACAAGCAUAUACACCGGGUACUGUUUUCUCAGAACAGAAAAUUGGAGUAUAUCAUUGAGUGGUAAUGUAGAUAUUACUACAAACUACUUACCUCAAUAAAUGCAGCACAAGUUGGGAAACAGGCUUUUCAACUGAUACAUCGUCCUCGUUUACUUGCUUUCCAACAUCAUGAUGGUUACCUGAAUCAACAUCUGUCUCAUCACAGAUUAUAUCCAGUCUACUUUGCAGGCUUGUAAUGAUAUCUCCCUGUGCACAUAAUUGUAAUCCCAGCCAAUAUUGGAGAAGAUCAGGAAGUGAGUGAGGGAUGUCAGUGAAGUUAUCACUUCACUCUAUAAACACAUGAGAGGGUGUACCAUCAAAUAGCCAUAUUUCAGGGAAGAUAUUUCCAAACAAAUUUCAAACUUAAGACAGCCCUUGAAUAAACGAACAGAAGUUUCAUCAUAAAUAAACACUUACUCACCUUUAUAUCAGUGACAGCUUGUGAAAUUGGCUCUUUUGAAUUCAGAUAUGCAAAAGAACAUAUCGCGCCACCAAAGGAAAGAAUACCAGAAACAUCUCUUUGGCUGUAUGCUUUAUAAAAUAUUAACAGUUAAUGUUAGAAAAUUUGUUCAAAAAAAAAAAUUAAUGUCAGAAAAUGAAGUUUUAAACCAAGUAGAGAACAAUAUACCUUCAAUAGAACCAUUAUUCAAGAAUGGUAUAAGCAAUUCAACUUCAUGCACACCAUCUAAUGAGCAUGGCUCGUUAUCAAGAACCUAAAAUUGUACAAAAUAAAUCAUUUUUAAUAAAAUAAUGCUAACAAAUAAAUGUCUUGUGCUGUUUAAAACAAUACAAGUGCACAGAUGUGUGAGAAAAACAAAUAUCCUGGGAAGAUUAACAUGUGGAAGAAAAAUUCAUUUGUAACAAACUAUGCAUGUUAAAUUUCUUUUUAUACAAAAGAGCAUUAUACUUAAAGAAAUGAUUCCAGCCAAACCCACAAAUAAUAUCAUGUGGGAUAUGAAUUAUCAGCAUCAUUAUGAGCCUGUUUGGAUUGGCUCAUUUUUUAGCUUAUGCAAAUAAAUAUGCUUUUAUGUAUUAUUCAUAAGAUUGUCAAGGUAGUUUAUGAAAAAAACAGCUUAUGAAGAUAUAAUUUUCGUUAGUGAGAACUUAUUUGCAACAUUGUCAAAGCAUAUAUGCAACCGAGUCUUAAAAAACUAAAAUAUGAUUGUGAUUGAUGAUCAGAUGAUACAGAAAGAUUUAUCUCUAGCCCAUUCUCACAGGAACACGGUACAAGACUACUAAUCCUAAUAGAACAGGGAAACAGAUUGCGAUAAUAACUAAUACAUGAGAAGAAGCUAAUCCUAUCAGAUAUUUCGAGUUAAUACCAGAUAAAGAUAUAAUAUGAUACAAUUUUCUCUUGCACCAAGGAACAAAGAAGAGGUAAAUAAAUACAAGAGGUAAAUAAAUACAUUACAACCAGAGAAUUAACAACUUUGCUACUUAUAAUAAUUGAAAAGACGUAAUUACUUUUUACUUCUGACUAAUGACAAAACAAUAUCCAUAAAUUAGAAGUGAAAGGAUAGAGUGGAAUAGUUUACCAAUUUACCGUCGAUCAGGGCUUUUGCAUCAGCCAGCUCUUUGGCAUGAAGAGAUAUUGCAUGAUGAAGAACGUCACUCAAUGUCUGAAACUUGGAUGAACCAUCACGCAAUAUGGGUAACCUUGUAAGAUAUGAUACCGUAUACAAAAAUCAACUGACAACCAAGUCUAAUCAAUAAAUAGAAGAAUAUCGUAAAUUUGUGAGGUUGUUACCUAAGAUUAAAGUUGUGCAUACACCUAAAAGUUUGAAAAGAACUUAAGACCUUCCCCAUUUUAAAAUCACAAGGGCGUAGACUACUAGAUGUAAUAUUUGAAGAUAGCGAACAGUUUCUACAAUUCCACCUGCACGAAAUCGAAAUAGAACAAACACCAUAUCAUACCAGAAACAAAGACUCAUCGGCAAAAUGACCACCUUUGGGAGUGUAACAAAAUAGAAGGAUUUGAGUUACCUUCUCGGGCCAUAACAAAUUUGAAGAAGCAGUCUUUCAUCCCAGUUAACAUCUGAAACUGGCGCUGCUUCAGCAACUCCCUUCACAGUCUGCAAGGGAGCAAAAGGGGAAAAAAUUGCUGAAAGCCUAGCCAAGAGAGCUACGUAGAACAAACAACACUUCGGAUCAAAGGUGUGUCUAGUGUCCGACACUGACACUGACACUCACACAUGGAGUUAUGUUCAAUUACUUUCAUUUUCUUAAAUUAUAUAUUAGUAUCGGUGUCUGUGUCAAUGCCAGUGUGAUAUUCCAUAUCCAACACGAAAAUCAUUAAUCAUGUCUAUGCUAGAAAAUGAACAAAGUUAACUGAAAAUUGGUAACAUUUAUAUAUACUACCUGGCAAGCAUUAAGGUUGAAUUCUUGAAGGCAUUAUCAUUGACCCAAACAUAGACACCAACAACCUUAAUGCCACCGACUAACAUUCUAGAAACCUGACGAGCGUGUUCGGAAACCCAAUCCUUGUCGAUGAACAAAGAAGAAGAAUCGGGUUGGGUUUGAGAUUUGGAUUUGGAAGCGAGUUUCUUAUCGGGUUGGAUGAUGGAAGAAGCGGGUUCAGCGGAAUCAUUGGGAGGAGUUGGAAUCAAAUCGAAGAGAAAGACGCGAUCCAAUGCGGAGCUGAAUUUUCCUAUCAGUAGACCCACCUCAGCUGGAGAGGAAGAUUUGGUGAGACGAUCUUCAACCGAUUGGAAUCGGGUUUCUUCUCCGACAACGCCUUUCACCAUGGUGCGUUUCUUCUGCUGUUGUUGAGUUCAACGAUGUAAAAGACUAUUUUAAUAGAAUAAAUCUUUUAAGAUUUUAAAAAAUUUUGUGAGACUGUAUUGAUAGAUUUUAUAAGAAUUUUUAUGUAAAAGAUUUUAUACAUUUAAGAUUUUAAUAGAUUAUCACACUAACUUUUAAAGAUUUGAAAGGAUUUUAAAAUUUCAAAGUAUUCAAUAAAUUUUAGGAGAUAAAGAACAAACUUACAACCGUUAAUGAUAAAAUUAGUAAACAAUAAAUUUUAGCGUUUGAAUAAAG
rnacentral:lncRNA from 1 species